rnacentral:lncRNA from 1 species
GUAGCCAUACCUUCUGAUUAACCAGCACAUCUUUCUUCCUCCUUGGUGAGCUCCACAGAUCCCCUCAUGGGUUUCUCCCAUGACUUUCAUGUAUUCUGUCUUUCCGAGACACCUUAACAGUAUCUCAUCCUUACUUUUCCGGACCAAAUCUUCAUUCCACAUGAGAUAGUUUGUAGCCAUGAUCCUGACUCUUUUCUUAGAGGGCAGAGUGGGGUAUCGUAAGUAAGUCAUGAUAGGCUCCCUCCAAUCAUCUUCAGUGAUCGAGGCAGAAUUGACUUCUAUCUCCAUUCCUCUAGUCAGAACUGACGGUAGACUUUUCCUUCCUAUCUUGAUGAUCCUCUGGACGCAGUCUUCGGGCAUUUGUAUGCCUGAUGCUACCUGAGCCAGUUCAUUGGCUGCGAAGUUUUCCUCCCUUGGGAUGUGUUCCCAAGUAGCUUCUCUGAAUUCUGUCAAUAGAUUUCUAGCUGCCACUAGAUAUACAGCCAGAGAGGGAUUCAGACACUUAUAUUCUCCAGCAAUCUGUUUUAGGACAAGCAUGGAAUCUCCCAAGAUUUCCACGGACUGGACUCCUAAUUCUACCAACAUCUCGAGCCCUAUAAUCAAAGCCUCAUAUUCGGCCCUGUUGUUGGUGCAUUGGAAAUCUAGCUGGAAAGAAUAGCAAUGCCUGACCCCUAAUGGUUCUUCCAGAACAAUUCCUGCUCCUGAAGCCUUGUCUGUCUUCGAUCCAUCAAAAUAUAAUUUCCAAGGUGUGAGAUGAAUCGAGUAGAUUGGAUUGUUAAGGCAAACAUGAGCUCUAGUUAACAGAUCUGCAUUUGCUAUGUCCAAAGAAUCCAUGUCUUCAAUUUCCUCUCCCGGGUGAUCUGCCAAAAAGUCUGCCACAGCUUGCCCUUUGACAGCUUUCUGGGGGACAUAUCUGAGAGUGAAUUCUGUCAAAGCCAAAGUCCAUUUCCCAAUUCUGCCCCUUAGCAUUGGUCUUGUCAGCAUGUAUUUGAUUAGGUCUGUUUUGGCAAUGAUAUAAAUAGUAUGUGGCAGCAUGUAGUGCCUGAGCUUUACAGCAGUGAAAUAUAAGGCCAGGCAAAGCCUUUCUAUCACGGAAUACCUUCUUUCCACCUCUGUCAAUGUUCUGCUUAAAUAGUAGACUGCCUGUUCUUUUCCUUCUUUGUUAUCUUGAACUAGCAGACUUCCAAUGGAUACUUCUGAUGCAGAUACAUAAAGUUUGAGGGGUCUGCCCCUUUUUGGUGGGGACAGAACUGGUGGAUUUGAGAGGUAAUGCUUUAUUUCCUGGAAAGCCUGUUGGUGCUGUUCUUCCCAUUUGAAUGUCUGUUCCUGUUUCAGUCUCAACAGGGAGGAAAAAGGUUGGAUUUUUCCUGCAGAAUUGGAUAUGAAUCUCCUUAGGAAAUUGAUUUUUCCUAAGAGACUCUGAAGUUCCUUCUUGUUCCGAGGUGGUAGAGCUUCUAUGAUGGAUUUUGCUUUAUUUUUGUCAACCUCUAUACCUCUCUGGUGGACCAAGAAUCCUAAGAAAUUCCCUGCCUGGAUUCCAAAAACACAUUUUUUGGGGUUCAUUUUUAGCUUGUGCUGCCUCAUUCUCAGGAAUGCCUUUCUCAGGCUUGCUACGUGAUUUCCUUCCUUAGGGGAUUUAAUCACCACGUCAUCUAUGUAUACUUCCAAAGAAUGUCCUAUCAUAUCAUGAAAAAUAGAAUUCAUUGCCCUUUGGUAGGUAGCUCCCGCAUUUCUCAAACCGAAAGGCAUUACAGUAUACUCGAAAGCACCUAUAUGUCCAGGACACAUAAAGGCUGUCUUGUGGAUGUCCUGUUCUGCCAUCAUAAUCUGGUUAUAACCUGCAUUGCCGUCCAUGAAAGAUAGCAUCUGGUUAUGAGCGGCUCCAUCCACUAGCAUGUCUGCCAUUGGCAUAGGGUAUUCAUCUUUAGGAGAUGCCUCAUUCAGAUUCCUGUAAUCUACGCAGAUUCUAACUGCCCCUGUUUUUCUUUUGAGAACAGGUACAAUAUUUGCUAACCAAUCGGCAUAGACGGCUGGCCUGAUGAAUCCUGCCUUGAGCAACCUUUCUAUCUCUUCUUUGACCUUCAGUUCUGUGUCCAUAGACAUUCUUCUUCUGGCCUGUUUGACUGGAAGGUAGCCAUCUUUAAUUGGCAGCUUGUGCUCCACUAACUGCCUGUCCAAUCCCGGCAUCUCGUGGUAAUGCCAGGCAAAACAAUCUCUGAAUUCCUGCAAAAGUGCCGUGAUUUCAACCUUGAGUGGUUCUUUUAACAGCGCGCUGAUGAAAGUAGGCCUUGGAUCUUCUUCUGUCCCCAAGUCUAUCUCCUGUAGAGGAUCCUCUACUUCUGGCAGGGAGUCAUCUAGUGCUGCCGGUGCAAAUUCCAACACUUCCUCCUGUAAAACUUCCUCCUCUUGUUCUUUUGUGCUUUCAUGGGUGAAUUCUGCCAUAUUGAUGGCUGGAUUCUGUAUGAAAAGCCUCCUUUCUCCCCAGUAUAUCAACAAUCUUUUUGUGAUGGAUCGGAUUGUUGCAGCUCGAUCCUUGUCCAGUUGACUGGGACUAAACAUCAGAAUUCUGGAAGUUCAGCACAAGAAAGUCUAUUCCAGUCCUCUAGAGAACUGGCUAGACCUUCUUCAAUGAGUCUUUGGGCCGUGACGCCAUGGGGGCGGCCGUUCUGAUUGACUCCAAGGAAAGUGUAGGGACCGAGGUCAUCAUGAUAAUACCUUGCUUCAAAGCACAUGGCAGAGGGUAGGAAUGGCCGUGGAUCGGCCUCUAUAAUCUCCAUGCAGCCUUCUUCAUCCCAUAUUGCUAACUGCUGGUGGAGGGUGGAAGGGAUACAAAGGCUCUGGUGAAUCCAAUCCCUGCCGAAUAGUGCAUUGUAGGUGGUGGAGGUAGUGUCUAUAACAAAGAAUGCUAUUUUCAACUCUUUGCUUCCGACUACGACAUCUACAUCUAAGAUGCCGUGUAUUUUGGUGAUGCCCCCAGCGAAGUUGGUGACGGUUAAUCGUGUUGGAAUUAGAUCCCUCUCUGUUCUGCCCAACUUGGUCAGCAUUCUGUGGGGCAAUAGAUUAAUGGCUGCACCUCCAUCUACCAUGAUCUUGGAGAUAGAAUACCUCCCAGAUUUGCCGUUAUAAAACAGCGGUCUGAGGUGAUUUGCCAUUUCUCUGGUUGGCUUGGGCGAAGCAGGCUGCUCUGUAGCUGGUUUANNNNNNNNNNNNNNNNNNNNNNNNNNNNNNNNNNNNNNNNNNNNNNNNNNNNNNNNNNNNNNNNNNNNNNNNNNNNNNNNNNNNNNNNNNNNNNNNNNNNNNNNNNNNNNNNNNNNNNNNNNNNNNNNNNNNNNNNNNNNNNNNNNNNNNNNNNNNNNNNNNNNNNNNNNNNNNNNNNNNNNNNNNNNNNNNNNNAAUUCUGCGCCAAAAGCUUCUGUUUCUGGGUCCAAUUCUUCACCAAAUUCCAUUAAUUCUUCCCCAUAUUCUUCCGUCCAGUCAUCCUGUUCUGUUAGUUCGAGAGGCUCUUUCUGAUCAUCCGCAGAAGGUUCAUAGUCUAAUUGCUCUUCUUCAUAUUCCUCAGCGUAGUCGUCUUCUUUUUGUAAUGGGGCAGACCCGGAUUUCUCUGGUGUCUGCGUGGUGUCAGGAUGGCUGCCGGACGACGAGGCUAUAUGGAUAGGAGACCUGGCUGGUGGCUCUGUUUUCAGCAAUUCCCUUGACUGGCAAGCUUCCUGUUCUGUCUGGGGAAGUGUUUCAGGAUUCUUUCCUUUCCUGGCAGAACUGGGUUGUGAACGUACCUGCGUAUUAUCUUGGCUUUUAAGAUAUGUGCAGUAUUGCCUCUGGAUUCUUCUUUUCUGGGUUCUGGUCAGCUCCAGAGUCGGUCUACCGCUUCUUCCUACGGAAUACCACCUCCCUUCUAUGAUCGUUGCCAAGGGUCUUUCGUUUCCGGGCGUCUUGACUGGUAUUUCCUUCCUGGGUUGCUCCAUCCUCCUCUCGCCGUAGUGUGCAGGCCUAAGACAGCUUUUCUGCCUUGUCUUGUCUCGGGAUAUAGUUCCAAUUCUGUCAAAGACACUAGGUGUGGGCUGAUUUUUCUUGUCUAGGACCACCUCUAGCUCUGUUUCACACUUGCACCUACUGCAGAGCACUACCCCAGCCGAGAUGGUCGCUCUUGGUAUCUGACUGGUCUCCCUUAUGAUUCUUCUGCCUCUGCUGCAACCAGCAUCUGUGAUAGGGUCGGUUUUCCUCUGUUAUGGCCAAUUUAAGUUGACCAUAUUGACUUGCGGUUGAGGAAAAGGAUCCGUUGUGACGGAUGGUGGUUUUUCUGCCAGCUUCAACCUUCCUGCCGUUAUUCCUUCUUGUACUACGUCCCUGAAAACGACACAGCUAUUGGUAGAAUGGUUCCAAGAGUUGUGCCACCUGCAGUACUGUCUGCCUUUGAGUUCUUCCGGCUUGGGUAUUCUGUGAGGCGUCUCUAUUGCCUUCUGCAGUAGCAUUUCGUCGAACAAGGCAUCGACCUUGGUUAAGUCAAAAGAGUAAACCUUGUUCUGUGUUGGUUUGUUUGGAACGAAUCCUCCUGUGAAUGGUGGCGGUUUUUGGUCUUUGGGUGGCUUUGUGAGGGCUUUGCAACUGAUGGGAUGUUUCAGUUUUGCCAUUUCUGCCACUGAAACCUCUUUCUCCUCUGAUUCCUCUGUAUCUUCUUGUGACUCCACCUCGAUCAGGUGGAUUGAAGAAGAAGGGGUUUUGUAGUAUGUACCUUUGGAGGAGUUCCUCCUUUGCUGCUCUUCCCUGAGUAGCUCUUCAUACUUGGAUGCCUUAUCAGCCAGUUCUGCCAGAUCUCCGAACACUAUCCCGUCGAACCUUUUCCUGAGAGAAAUUUUAAGGGCGGCUUGGGCCAUCUGGAUGAAGUGUCUUUCUUCCAUUGGGAUUCGGCACUUCAUCUUGAGCUUUCUGAAUCUGGUUAUGAAAUCUUGCGCCGGUUCAUCUUCACUUUGCUUGAGGGCAGCUAGAUCACUGAUGGUGACUUCUGGCUGAAUCCUGUAAUAGUAGUCAUGGAAGACAUUUUCCAUCUGUUCCCAGGUUUGAACAGAGUUAGCUGGCAGGCUGGUGUACCAGGUAAAAGCUUGCCCAGAGAGAGAGUUGCCAAAAAGCCUUAAUUUCAGUAGAGGGUUGUUUUCUAUAGCUAUGCAUUGGACGGAGAACCUGCCUAUGUGUUCGACUGAGGAAGCAUGGGGAUCUUCCCCGUUAAACAAAGUGAAGUUUGGCACUUUGAAACCUGGAGACAACGGUAUUUGAUCGAUGUAGGCUGGGUAUGGCUUUCUGUAAGUAGGCCUUUCCCCUCUUCUAGCCUCGGGUUCCAUGAUCUCUCUGAUCAUUCUUCGCAAUGCCCCUACGUCAUUUAAAGCAUUGACUGGGGGAGCAAUUUGUCCCUGUUCUGGCUGAACGUAAUCAAACCUGGGCUCUGCCCUGAGUGGUCUGGGUGGAACUUCCUCCCUGUGUUCUUCCUGCUCUUCGACUUCUGGAUGAUUCCUCCAGUUUGCCCCCGGUCUAUUCCUGUCAUGAUUAGCAAAAAGGUUGUUUCCCCCUCGGCCUCUCCUCCCUCUUGCAGGUGGAGGGAAUGGAUUAGGGUCCAUCCUUCUGGGUCUAUAUGGCAAUACUGCCGGUGCUUCAGGCAGAAGCGCCAAAGGUUGAUCAUGCGGGGCUGCAUGAUGUGAAUUGAGCUGAGGUCCUGGCUGGUUCUGAGCCAGCGCCAGGUUAUCUGGUUGGGUUGGGGCCUGAUGUUCUUGAUUAGGAAGGGCCCUCUCCCUCGGACCAGCCUGAAUUUCUGUGUGGCUUGGCACUCCAGCUAUCUGUGCCACUAGAGGAUUUUCCUGGUAUGGCCAUAUUAGUCCUGGCGGAGGGCCAUAAGGAAGAUCCAACUGCUGGAUUACAGGAUCUGGGUUCGGAUUUCUGGCCAUGGCGGAUUCUCGGUCCUUCCGGAACUGUCUGUUUACCUGCCAUUGCAUCAUGGCUGUCAUGUUAUCGAGAGUGUCCUGGUUCCUUUGUACUGUGACCUCUUGUCGGAGUACCGACUCCUGUAUUUGACUCACCCUUUUGGAGCCAGUCCUGGAACGUCUGCUUCCUGUACUGCCGUGGGCAGACUGCCUAGCGUCGCUUUCUUCUGAUUCGAGGCCUUCUCUGAGAACCAUCUUGUUUUUCUCCAUGUCUGGUGUGGGUUCUGACUAGAUCUUCCGGCUUUUGUAAAUCUGUGAAUGAUUCUGUCCGAGUUUGUAUACUGAGAAGUCCCACUGGGCGUGCCAAAUUGUUCACCCGUUUUCGUGUUUAACUCCUGAUAUGGAAGGGCGAAGUUCCCCACUAGCUUGGAGACCACUUGUUGGUCAACAAGUCAGCUUUCUUUGGUGUGCGAGCGUGCCACUGCUAGCAAUGUAAAUUCUAGCAGACUCAUUUUUAGAGUGGAUAACCUGCGCCUCAAGUUACUGACUUCUAAAACAAACGAUUGUGAAUUUGGGUGAGGAAUACCUCCCAAGUAAGUUCUUUUCUUGCCUCAGACUGGUGAGGACUUUCACAAUUUAUCUCAGUAUCAAGAUGGUUGUUCUGGCCAGAAUAGAUAAUAAUAAAGUACUGUUUCAGGCAGAACUGCCUUUUACAAAAUUAAGAAUGGAGAAAUCAACUCUAGAAAGGCAAAAAGAUGGCUGGAAUCUCAUUUCUGCCUGGGUAGAAACUUCUGAUCCGGGCUGGACUGGGUAUGUCUAUGCUGGACUGUACUGUCAACAACUUUAGCUGCUUGGCUUCAGUUGUAAAUCGAUACCAAAGUUCAAUUUUGGCAGAGCUUUAAUCUACUUCAAGCCUUGGGAGACUUUUCGAGCGGGCAGAACUGCGACUUCUUCAGUUUGAAAGGACAGAAGUGGCUAUUCUCGAGGAUUUAACAAGCUGGAACUAUGCUAUAAAAUUUGUUGAGGUUUUCAUAUUUGUGAAAACUCAAGCUGUGUUUGUUUUGGCUUUUGCUGAACCAAAUUUGUAACGAGAGGGAUCUCGCUUUCAGAGGACUUAUUUUCUAAGUCUGAACUUUGGAAUUCUGAUCUAGAGCUGUUUUCCUGUUUGUAUUUUUUGAUUGAUUGAUGAAAAGAAUGUCCCUUUUCUUUCUUGCCUGUUUCUGUUUUUAUAAGAGACCCUCCUUUUGAAGGUGGUUUUAAAUUUUAAUAAUGGGCGGCAAAAGAUUUCUCAAAAAACGUAAAGCAGGAAAGAUUUUUAUCAAUUAUGGCAGAUAGACUCCCAGUGGUCAUUUCCUAUAGCGAUCCCUUCCCUGGUUUCCUGGCUGACGGUUUUUUUAUUUUAAUGCCACCGUCUGUGUGAGCUGAUCCUAUGGCGGUUUUGAUUUUUCUUUUGUAUUUUCUGAACAACUCCCUGUCUCUUGCUCUUGAAAACGUGAUUUGCGAAAUCUUUUUAGAAGACGGUGUGUUGCUUUGGAGCAAAAAGUCUCUGAUCAUAGACGCCCCUUUGAUUUUUCUUUCUCGGCAGUGUUUUCAGAAACGUCCCUUCUCACAUAAAAACUCUAGUUGGAUUUGCUGACUUUCCAGAGAGGUGAGGUAGCCACGUGAAUGUGUCUUUAGUCUCUUGGGCUUGAGUUUAAACAAUAUUUUGUGGGCUGAUUUUCAAAGGCCCAAUAUGACAGCUUUGGGUCUUUUUGGGACUGGAUAAGUAUUUCACCACGGGCCUGUUUCUGGAUCUCUUUGGUGUGUCGAAUUUAGGCCCAAACACUAAAAUCCACUCUUUUUUACUAUAAUUAAUUCAACACCCUUGAUACUCCGUGAUGAUGACAAAGAAAGAUCCACGAUUGCCAAACACCCCCUUAUAUUAAGCAAAUGCAUGCCAUAAAACUAUCCAAGUUGGGAUGAGGUGUCCAAUUCAAUUUCUCUUUCUUGAAAUUAAAAGAAAUUAUAUGAUUUCUAUGCAAGCUUUCUUCUUUAUUUUCACGAACCAACCAAUGCAUGUCUCCAUGUGCAGAUACAUUCUUAUCGCUUAAACCACAACACGGAAUUGAAUCUAUCUCACUCCAUGACGAGCUUGUGCCCAAUACAUAAACGUGCCACCUCAAAAUUGAGUUCAUGAUUUCUGGCAACAUAAACAAUCUUGAGGGUGUUGCUUAUAUUAUCAAAUCCCAUACCAUACCAAACAUCGAAUAUGAGUGGAAACUUUAGAACUUCCAUCCUAAGAGGGUUAACCAUGAAGCAUGGAUCUUUGCAUCCAAAUCUACUUUUGAAGAAGAAAAAAAAAAGUUGCUAAAAACACAAUCUAGCUCGAAACGAUUUCCACGACUUAAGAAUCUUUGAGACAAGAAAACUAUAUUUGAUUUCUUUUAAGACGUAGUCUCCACUGUAUUUCAAUGACUGGAAGACCAUGGUGAAUUUGUCAUGUCGAGUACGAGAGCUAGUAAUAAGCAUAAGUUGAGGUACUUCAACAACACCGGGGUUGUUGAUGCAACGUGAUGUGUGAAGUGUGGCAAAGAAUGAGCAGUCAACUAGGUUGAAAAAUGACUUGGAAACACAAUGGAUGCGACAAAUUGAUUGCUGGGAAGUCUCGUGAGAAUGUUGAGAAUGAUGUCGUUGGGUAGUUCCGCCAAUAGUAACUUUCUUGUCCUUAUUAGCUUCUUCAAUCCUACUCACUCAAACAAAAUAUUCAAUUACAAAUUUAAUUUGAUUAAUAAAUCUGCAACCUAAAGUUUGGAAAGUGCAACGGUAGAGUUUGUGUGAUUCCCUUCAUGUCUGUUUGAGGAAUAAGACCUGGUGAAUAUGACGAAGAAAAUUUCUAAUCUCAAUAAUCCAAACCCAAAUGAAUCUCAUACAAAUGAGCCAAGAAUGACACUCAUAUUCUUGCUCACAAAUACAAAAAAGAGACAAGAAUACCAAAUUUGAAACCACAUAUAAUAUUUAGUGUUUGGCACUGGAGAGUUUCUGAUGCUAACUUGCAUUUCGCAACAAAGCUGAUAGUGGAUACACUCUCACACAUGCACACAUUUUAAGAAGGUUGCAGGCAAAAUAUAAGAAACUUGAGAAACUAAAUAUGAGGAGUAUUUACAGAGGGAAUUUAUAAACUUGGUUCCCUUUUAAUCCAUAUUAAUUUGUGUUGUUUCCAGAGUGUUAGUAAGUGACCAUCGAGGGUUCCUCUGGCCGUGCAGGUUGUUUGAGCCUUUUGGUACUUGUUCUCUAUAGAAAGAAAAGCAGCAUGCUGGUGAUUACUGUUCAUUAUAUUGUGAUGACACAUUUGGAGCCAUCACUCUUGUGAAUGACUCUUGCUCUGCAACUGCAAAGACACCAAAUUCCACACUCUUCGAUUUUGGAAUAUACUUGGAUGCCCUCAAAUAUGGUGUCAUUGAUUCAGCGGAUUCUGUACAAAAGAUUUCUUACUGCUUUUGGUUGGGGGACUACAAAAUCUGAGGUUUGUGCACAUUAGAUCCAUCCUAUGCUCUUGCAUUGAAGUGUAAGUAGUAAAUACUUUCUGUCAAAUUAAACAAAAUCAUAUAAAAUAAUUGUUGGCCGGUAUUGUUUUAGGUAUUGGGAGGAUGAUGGGGUAAAUGAACAAAACUUACAAUUCCCAUUUGUAGAAUUUUUCUUCUUGCACACUUGUUUACUACCCUUUGGGGAUUAACUUGUUUUAUAUUUCAAUUUCAUAUUUUGCAGCUCCCUCUUGGUCAAAACCUCAAAACAAAUACCUAUGUGUGGCAAAUCUACUUUUCAGUUGUGAUUUCAAUUUCUGGCUUGGUAUUAUUUGCAUUUCUUAUUGAAAAUAUGCAGGGUUGGUGUUAUGAAUACGUUUAUUUCAGAGCUCUCGGUUCCCCUGCUGCUAAAUCUUAUAUCCAUUCAUCUAAAUGCAUUGUUGUUGGAUAAUACUCAGAAACUAGACUUCUUUGACAAGAAGUCCUUUGGGACAUCACAUGAUGAACUGUGUUUUGUUGUGGAAUAGACAUAUUUGCAGUAAAAAACUGCAAGAUUGGAGGAAAUGAGAUUCAAGGGGCAAGAUAUAUAUAGAAUUGUGGAUGGCUUUCCAUUCCCUUCCACGAAGCUUAAGAAGCGGAUACGGCAAUAUGAGAAAUACAAAAUGGCAAGAAACCGGAGGGAUACAAAGCGGCAUCUUUGCUCAGGUCCACUCAGCAAAGUGAGACUUGUUGAAUUUGUCCCUCCCUAUAAUUCUUGUUGAAGUUUAUCAAGAAGUCUUGUACAUGAUGAUGAUGAGAUGAUAUUUUGGUAGGCCUAGGCUUUUCUGAACUUAUUUGACUUGAACAAACGACUGCUGGAUGCAAUCUGCGAGCAUCUGAAGCCAGUGCUUUACAUAGAGCAUAGCUUCAUAUAUAUUUCGAAAAGAAGAUCCACUUGAUGAGAUGCUGUUUAUCACGCGUGGGAAGGUCUUGGCUUACUCCAGCAGUACUUGCGGUGAAGGCGCUAUAAUUCUCUUGAAAAGGGUGAUUUCUAUGGAGAAGAACUUCCGGAUUGGGUGCUCAAGACUUGUCCGGCUCCUACAUUAUCCAACCUCCCCAUCUCAACCAAAACAGUCCAAGCUGAGACGAAAGUGGAAGUGUUUGCUCUUAAAGUCAAUGAUUUGAAACACGUGGUCUCUAAAUUCUGGUGACUUUUCAGCAUGGAGCUGAGGAACUCUAACAGCUUUGGUUUGUAGUGAUGAGAACCAAGGGCAGCUUGUGUUUUGCAAAUAGCAUGGCACCGCUAUAAAAGAGAAAAGCUUCAAAAGUCUCCCAGGUUGGCUAAAGAGGGCAGUCUUUCUGCCACUGAUCACCAUGUUGUUUCAGAAACACAACAUAAGUAGGUAUGGCUAAUAAACUGUUAAAGCAUUGAUGUAAUUCAGGCAGUGUUCGAAAAAUCGGCCUAAGCAGGAGGACACUGCUGACCAAACAUGCUAAGCUACGGCUUCAACAUUGUUAUCAAGGCAUUUUGUUUCAACUGCCUGCUCAUUUAACUAGCUGGUGUUUGAAAAAUCGGCCUAGGCGGUGCCUGAGCGCUAGGCGGCCGCCUAGGAGGGUGCCCAGAGGGUUUUAUAGUGGCUCUUUUAUUUCUCCUGUUUUGAUGAUUUUAGAUUCACAUGUUAAUCUAUGAUUUCAACAUUAUUAUCAAGGCAUUUUGUUUGACACUGCCUGCUCAUUUAACCAGCAAUUGUUCCAAAAAUCGGCCUACGGAGCCUAGGCGCUAGGCUGCCGCCUAGGCGGUCUGGGGUCUGACUCAGAAAAAUGAGAUGAUGAUGAUGCUAUGAGAGAGAGAGAGAGAGAGAGAGAGAGAGGAGAUAGCUCGUGUUAGUCUUAGGGUUUGAGAAGGAAAAUUGCAUUUAUAGGUAAAGGGAUGUUGGCUUUCAAUUGGGCUGGGCUUAAAACACUAAUAAAACCAAAAAGCCCUAUUUAGAUAUAUUAUUUUGAUUGGGAAUUGCCCUAAGAAAAUACAACAUUAUUAAAUGAUUUUUGCAUUAUAAAAUCACUAAAGCAACGAUAUAAGUAACAAAUAACAAAUAAGUAUUAUUCUAUUUUUUUUUAAAUAUAUAUGUAUUAUGGUAUUUUAUAAUUUAUAUAUCCAGUUAUUUUGCAUGAUAUUGGUAUAAAUUUAUAAUAUAUAAUACUAAAUAAUUAUAUAUAAUAAAUAAAAAAAGAAACUCCUAGGCACCUGCCUAGGCCCAAUUACUCCUCUAGGGCCUAGACUCUGCCUACCACCUAGUGAUUUUUCGAACAUUGAGAUAUGCUUGUUAAUUUACUUUACAUUGAGAUAUUUUCUCCAACUGGCACCCUUCGAUUUCUUUAUAAUAUGGCUACCAACAAACUGCACUGCAUACAGUGGCGGACCCAGAAAUUUUUUAGCAGAAGUGCAAAAUUGAUUAAGUAUGAAAAAUAGUUUUUCGGAAUAAUCAUUUUCUCAAGAUAAUUUUUGGCGGCUUUUAUUCCUUACACAUUAAAUAAGAAAACUUGAUUUUAUGGGAUUUUAGUAUGAAGUAUAUAUUGACUUAAUGAGCCAUCAUUUUUAGCCUAAAUCGUAUUUUGCACUAAAACCGAUUUUUCAUAUUUUGAUUUGAUAGGAAUUUGAUUUUCUAGUAUUUUUAUUUAAAUCCAAAUGGGGGGUACUUAAAUGACAAAGACAUUUAUAUUAAAUGUUGAAAAUGGAAAUAAGGUAAUCUGUACACCAGUUAAGCAAAGGGGCAGUUUGAAGCACCUACAAUGGUUUUUCCGGCAAGGGGAGGUGCAAGUGCACCUCCUUGCGCCUAUGUAGAUCCGCCAGUGACUGCAUAUGGUCACUCUGCAAACAAUCAGAAGCCAAUAUAUAAACUGAUAAAAACAACUAAAAAUCAUGAGAAGUUGAUAUAAUAACCUCUUGAUUUCAUGCUACUUAGCUUUGAUUUUAUUCAUAUGAUGAUUGCCGUUCAAUCUCGAUCAAUCUCUACUGUAUUAUAUGAUAAGCAAAAUUCAAAGAAAUCGAACCCAUAAAUAUUGUAAUGGAAAUACAAAAUUCUGCAGAAGAAAAAAAAAACCAAAUAUUAUACAUACAUAGCGAUAUAUAAGAGAUGAGGCUUGUAUGUUUAUGCUUGUUCAAUCACAAUCACAUAAGAAUAUCCCAAAUAUCACCUCCUGCUUUUUUAGCUUCAACCAAAUUGCCAUAGUGAUAGUGUUGUGAGGAGACGAGACUUGCAGUGAUGAAAAAGAAAUUCGAACUCGGGACCUCUUUCAAUAUUGAAAAGAGAUCUGUUAGUGUCACUAAACUAAAAACUAGUUUGUGUGGAUAUAUAUAUAUAUAUAUAUAUAUAUAUUUUCUAAUUCUGCUGCUUUGCCCAAGAAAAAUACAGAUUUUCUUCCAAUUAUAAUAUGCACUGAUAAAUGUACAGAAUCUACACCAUUUCAGGUUUUUAAACGAGAAAAGUAGAUUUAACCAUAUGGAAGCACUCUAGAUAUGGCAUAGAAUUUGGAUUUUGUUUAUAUAUAGAUCCGUUUUUUAUGGCUGUCACCGUGAUGUUUUGGUGCCUUUGGUUCUAUAAAAACACACACGCUUUACAAGAAGUGACAAUCAUACGAAAAGCAAAAAAGAGCCAAAGAAGACAGUAAUUUAUCCAAGAUGGCUAAGCCCUCCUCAACCACUUAUUUCAUUCUCCUCCUUGCGUUAACCACAGGUGUAUAUACACUUAUUGUUCCUAAAUCUUGCCCUAAUCUCUACUUUCUCUUUUAAUUGAAUCCACUGUGUGCUGGUCAAUUUAUCAUUUGGCUUUGUUAAUGCUAAUUCCAAUUCAUUAUGGAGAUUCAACGUUACUCUUCGGUACGUUCCAGAGAAUCAAACUCUUGACAUAUCCUAAACAUAACUCAUUAUCCCAGAUGCCGUCCCUCGCCAGUAGUACUUGGGCUAACCCCAAGGACCUGAUGUUGAACUUUUUCUUUUCUUAAUAUUAUAAAACGACUCUAAAUGAGAUGGAAGAAUGCGUAUGGAUUUUUAAUAAAGGACUUAGAUAAUAAAGCAAGGAUUUUCCAGGCAAGAAGAGAGUUAAUUAAUCCAUUGCUAUAUAUGCCUUUUUGCAGUUUUUGACAACAAGUUAAAGGGAGACUUAUGCUCUGAGGUUUUGGGUGGUUGUCUUGACUGCCAAUCAAGGUGUGAAUCCCAAUUCAAUUCAACUUGAAUCGAUUCAACGUAUCACAUCCUCAGCUUAGCACCCGAAUACGCAUAGACACUCAUUAUAAGGAUAGAUAAUAUUGUAACAAAAUCCAUAACCUUUCAGAGGUCCAGCAAAUCUCAUGGUGCAAUUCGAAUUGCAACAUUGAUAGUUGCAGGCAAAGCUGCAUGGACCUAUACCCAGAUUGCAUGUCUUGUAUUUUGGUGGCGGUUGAGAGCAUUUGUAGAAGCAAUUGCAUGACGGAGGAUCAGAGGUUUUAUCACAAACCCCUUAACCACGAGGAUGCUGGGGCUUACGUCUUUUCUUGCAGCUUUUAUCACAUGCUCCCAAAUCUUCAGAGCAUAAGUCUCCCUUAACCAUGUGAUCAAAAUGUAAUAAAAAUGAGAUACCAAAGUCAGCACAACUUUCAACAAAAUCUACUAGUUUGUUUAACUGAACCAUCAAAAUGUAAUAAAAAAGUAAUCCACCAAGUAAUCAAAUUCAUUCUAUUUUUAAGAUCUUAUUCUCGCUUCUACUCACAGUCUAAUCUUUAUUAGAAUGUCAAUAUCCAAUCCAUAACUAAUCGAUAAUUGGUGCGGAGUCCCAAGAUCUUUUAAGCAUUUACACUAGCCUUUUAUUUUUCGACAAAGGAUACUCUCUCAACACGCCUCCUCAUGUGUAGGCUCUUUUAAGCCUAACAUAUGGAUAUCACAAGGUUCAGCUGACCCUCCUCAUCAUGCCUUAGCCUUUAUUAUCAAAAGGAAAUGUUUGUGCUAGUUACUAUAGUGGGGGCAACUUUAUAUAAGCGAUGAUAUUGUGGGAGAGAGACUAUACUAGAUGACUUGUACUCCAACACUUAGUGAAAAUUUUCUCCUCUAGCCAGAUGGAAGGUUUGGACCAAAGCCACCACACCUACCUUCAAAACCACCAACUCAUCAAUCUCUCUCUUUCGCAAAACAUGACAAGAUCAAUCAAGUAAGUAUAGGAGAGAUGAUAUUGCGUGCGCAUCUUACGUCCUAAACAGAGUUAUAAAUAUUUUCGCUCCGCCAUUGUGUGGGCACAUGCACUGUUGGGCCAAGCACGCAGAUAAUCAGGCUAUGAUAUAUAUCAUAUUAGAUUGUGAGAAUCCAACUCAAAAUCACGUUAGCAAUGGAUGAAUAUAUUGUUAAUAGUCUUGAAAAAGACUAUGUUAGGCUUCUAUCUUUCGAUGUGUGAUAUAAUACUCUUAAUAGUCUUGACAUAAACUUGUGAAAGGUUUCUGGAAAGCAGAGAAAGAAUCGGAUUGUAGUUAGUUAUUCUUAAGUUUUUGUGACUAUUGCGUGUUGCACUUUUUUUUGUUAGCCCAUCCCAAAGUGCUUUAGUGCAUUCCAAAUGAAAUCAGCUGAAAUUGUCACUUUUUAAGGGAACUACCAGACUCAUGUGAAAUCUAUUUUCACCUACUUCACAGUAUUUGCGGCAACCAAAUGAAACCUCUUCUUUUUUCAUAAUUUUCUCUUGUUAUAAAUCGGGCUUAUAAUAACCAAUACCAUAUAGUCUGCCACAUCCACUAAGAAUAUCUGUACAUGCCACUCAAAUUUUCAAAAAGCAAAACAAUGGUGGUGAAAAUCAAAGGCUGCUAUGUACUGAAACCCUCUACACCAACGUUGCAAGGUACCCUAGCACUCUCAGAAUGGGACCAAGUUGGCACCAUAACUCAUGUUCCCACUAUCUACUUCUACAAACCAGACCAAACCUUUGCCGCACAACCUGACACUAUAGCCAACAUCCUCAAAGACUCAUUAAGCCGUGCACUGGUGCCAUUCUAUCCUCUGGCAGGUCGAUUGCGUUGGAUUGGCGGUGGCCGUCUCGAGCUCCAUUGCAAUGACAUGGGGGUUCCGUUCAUUGAGGCUGAGUCCGAUUCAAAACUCGAUGACUUUGGUGACUUCUCUCCUUCUCCAGAAUAUGACUAUCUUAUCCCCACUGUAGACUACACCCUCCCAAUUCAUGAACUUCCUAUAUUGCUUGUACAAUUGACUAGGUUCAAGUGUGGUGGUCUUAGUCUUAGCUUGACUAUUUCACAUGCCGUUGUUGAUGGGCAAAGUGCAUUGCAUUUCAUUUCUGAGUGGGCUAGGCUUGCAAAGGGUGAGCCAAUUGGAGUAAUGCCAUUUCUGGAUCGAAAAGCAUUUCAAGAUCGAACACUCCCAGCUGGAAAUACUCUAGGGCUUGACCACUCAGAGUUAGACCAUCCACCCCUUUUGCUCGGCCAGUCGGAUAAUAUCGAGGAGAGGAUGAAGAGGACCACUGUGGCCAUGUUGAAGCUUACCAAGCAACAAGUUGAGAAACUUAAGCGAAUGGCAAACGAGGGGAAUGAUUACAAGAAUUCUGGCACUAAGCGGGCUUACACACGGUAUGAGACCGUGGCAGGGCACAUAUGGAGAUGUGCGUCUAAGGCUAGAGUUCACAGAAAUGAACAACCUACUGCGAUGGGGGUUUGCGUCGAUUCGAGGAGUCGUAUGCAACCCCCAUUGCCCCAAGGAUACUUUGGAAAUGCAACAUUUGAUGUGAUUGCUACAAGUCUUGCUGGCGACUUAGUGUCCAAGCCAUUAGGGUAUGCGUCGAGCAGAAUAAAGGAGGCAAUCGAGAAGGUGACGAAUGAUUAUGUGAUGUCUGCCAUUGAUCACUUCCGAAACCAGCCGGACUUGACUAGGUUUCAAGACCUUCAUGCUCUAGGGAGUGAUCAAGGGCCUUUCUAUGGAAACCCUAAUCUUGGGGUUGUGAGCUGGUUGACACUGCCUAUAUAUGGGCUUGACUUUGGAUGGGGAAAGGAAAUUUAUAUGGGUCCUGGACCGCAUGAUUUUGAUGGGGAUUCCUUACUCCUUCCAAGUCCUAAUGGAGAUGGUUCUAUAGUUCUGGCUUUGUGUCUACAAGUGGCGCAUAUGGAUGCUUUCAAGAAGCAUUUCUACGAAGAUAUUAUAUAAAUAACUUGUGCCAAGACCAGAUAUAUAUUGUCUACGUUAUAUAGAUGAAAAAUAAAGAACAGAUAUGUGCAAAAUAAUAUAAUUACCAAGUACUAUGGCUUUAGCCUACAUAUAUCAACUUAAUUGGUCUGUAUUAAGAAAUUAUUUCCCUAGUUAAUUGUAAUUCAAAUAAUUUUAGUACACAAAUGGAAGUAUUGUAACCCUUUAUAAUUGUAAUUGGGAAAUUUGCAUAAAUACCACCUCAAUUUUUAGGCAUGUGUGCCAUUACCACUUGAACUUUUAUUUUUUUAUUUUUAAGUACCUAAACUUUGUAGAGUGUUGCAAUCCACUACCUACAUCUAAUUCCGUUAAAAUUUCGGUUAAGUGGAAGGUCAUUUUCAUCAGUUCACUAAAAAACUAAUUUUAAAAAACAUAGUUUUAAAAAUAAAAAAGAAAGGAUAUAAAAGCAGAGACAGAAUGGAGACUCUGGCAGUGUUUGGCGGAGCAAGUCCAUGUGUUUCCUCACCCUUCAACGCUCAGCAGCUGAGAGAAUCUGCAGCUUAUCUUACAACCACCACAUGAAUAACCGUUUUCUCAUAUUUCCCAUCUCAUCCUCAUGCUAAAAGCCUCACCAAACCUCGCAACUUUCUUCCCCACUUGGCUGCUUCAUUGGAACAAGUUGAUGAGACAUACAAAAUGGUGAAACCUGAUGGAGUUCAGCAUGCACUUGUGGGAGAGAUAAUCUCAAGGUUUGAGAAGAAGGGGUUUGAUAAUCCAAGAGACAAAAGCAGAGUGUUUGUGGUCGGGUGUGGUGGGGGAAAUGGUUUAGGGUUUAGGGUAAUGCGUAUAAUUAGGUUAAUUUUAUUUUUUAAAUUCCGUUUCUUUAAAUUUAAUGGAAAUUUUAACGGAGUUAGACAUAGGUGUUGGACUACAAUACUUUACAAAGUUCAGAUGGUAAUAAAGCACAUAUACCUAAAAGUUCAAAUGGUAUUUAUGUAAAUUUCUCAUUGUAAUUAUACUACCAAGUUCACAAUAACUAUACAAGUCUCAGGUCAACAGUUCGAGCUUAUGAUUCUUGGGCUCAAGGCCCGAGGAUCGAGUUCAUUUGGUGAUUGAGGUUUGGGGCUAGACUUCAGAAUUUUAAGGAUCAUGGAUGGAUGAGUUUGGGUCAUAGCCUGCAACUCAACUAUGCAGGGCAGUAGGAUUGCAAAAUAAGGCCCAAGGCAAAGAGUAUAGAAGUCAUUCUAUAGUGAGGGUCUUAUCAGAUGAUGCCCUAUUUCUUAACUAUUAGUUUGAUCCAACGAUUAAGAGAUAAGAUCUCAUCCAAUUUUUAGUCUUUUUUUUUUUUUCGUUCCUUUGGGGAGGGGGAAAGGAGAGGAGCUUUUUAAAAUGGUAAUAAAACAAAAUAUAAGAUCUGAAUGGCAUAAAUUAUUACCACAGAUAUUCUUCCUCAGAAUUGACACGAUAUAAUAUGAACAAAAUUAUAGAUUAAGGGAUUUUCCAUUAAAACCAGAAUCACAUUUAUUAUUUCUUAAUUCAAAAUUAUUUUUUUUGGGUCAAAAUUUCUUAAUUCAUUAUGACACUCUUCACAGAAAAUAAUCCCCCAAAAUUCUGUCAUUCUCUAUAAAUAAUUAAAUACCAAACAUGUGAACCCCACAGCUACAGACACGAAGAUGGCUGCUUCUCACAUCAUCAUUGUCCUCCUUGUAUUCACUGCAGGUAUAUUUUAUCAGUUGGGCUUGCAUAAUUUGUGCAUGUGUAUAUGGAAGUUUUGCUGUCUUUUUUUAUAUGUUUGCACUUCCAACUUUUAUUUUCAUGCUUUGAUUCUUCUUUUGUUUACUCGAUUGAAAAUCACCCCAAAUCAACGAACAAGAGUAUGGGUGUCUUGCCUUCUACUAUGUGGCUUGACGAUCCAAAUUGUUUGUUGUUUAUUUUAUGAGUCAAUUCUUUUGUUUAUUUGUUUGCUUGUUUUUCAUUUGCCAUUGAGAGUAAAAUUCUACGAACUAAUUCAUCUAGGAUGAUGGUAUUAGGGACCCUGAUGCCUAUAGUGAAAGGUGACAUUUGCACAGAAGAUUUGGGUGCAUGCGAUGAUGGCUGCAAUUCAAGGUGCACAUCUGCACAUACUGGGGCUAAGGCCGGUUGCGAUUUGAACAACACCACCCCAGUUUGCAGAUGCUACUUCGACUGUCCACCUCCAACUCCACCGCCAUACUCAAAAACUUGCAAACUGAGUUUGGGAAUAUGGGGAGAAAACUGCUCUGACGAGGACUGCAACUCAGAGUGUGCUGCUAAAUAUCCUGGACCCCAACAAGGAAUGGGGUACUGUUAUAGCGUUGGAGCUCCUUUUUAUACUUCUUGUUUUUGUCAAUACAAGUGUUAGCUUUCAGCAGCUUGAUUGAUUUCAUUGUCGCCAACAAAAUAUUACCAUUCACUACUUGUUGGCACCUGUUGGAUAUUUCUGCUAUUUAUAAUUAUUUAUUUAUUCUGAAUUUGAAAUUUAUUUAUAAUUAUUCUUAAAAAAUUAUUGUGAAAUGUUAUGUUGGUUUUCUUAUUUUUUUUUUUUUUGUUGUUGUUGUCAAAGUUAGGAAGAGAGAGAGAGGGGAAACUUACACACACAUAUAUCAUAGAGGCUUGAACCCAAGACCACUUGGAAGCAUGUCAAAGGAAUAAGUCAAUCCAACUAGCACCCUUUGAUUGAAAAGUUAUAUCGGUUUAGUUGAAGUGAAUAGUCGUAAAUUUUGACUAAAGGGUUAAGUAAAAGUUUUAUAUAUAUAUAUAUAUAUAAAGCUUUCAUAGAAGGAUCUCUCAAAUAAGUUUAUUUGAGAGACAUACUUGUAGGGCUCACUUCGCAUUGUAUUUCACUAAUCCAAACCGUCUGUUUUUUUAGAAAUUAUUCAAGGAUCAUCUUCACAAAAAAAUCACUUGAAUCCAAUAUCAUUUAACCACUCAAUUGAGUUAUUUAAAUUUUAGCACUUUCUUGAAACACUUUGUUCAUUGAUUUUGUAGGAUACUAUUGGAUGUUGAAAUGGUUUCCGAUUUGUCUAAUUUUUUGCAAGGAUGAUCUAUGAAUGUAGACUUAAAAAACAGAUGGUUUGAAUCAUUGGAAAAAAAUUCGUAAAACACCCUAAAGGUGUCUCUCAAAUAAAAUCAUUUGAGAAAUCCCUCAAUAAAAGGAGACUAUAUAUAUGAAUUUCUAUUCCUUACUCCAUCGAUAACCCAGUGUCUUCUCUUCUUCUUCCUAUCUUAGUGCUACAAAGGAAUUUGACUCUAAGCAUUGUGUAUGCCAGAUUAAUUGCACUGAAUCGAUUGAAACCAAGUCGUGGCAAACCAAUUUGGUCGGUGCCGGUUUGGGAUUUUGGACAACUGACUUGGUCGGUUUGGUUGGCGACGCGAGACUCUCGAUUUUCGAACCAAUUCUUUCCCCAAACUACUUCACAUACAAAUGCAACGGGUUUAUGGAAAGUACAAAAGGAAGCACGUAACUUGCCAAAAAAGAAUAUUUAACAAAUAUUUAUGAAUAGUAUGUUAAGAUAAUAGAUUCUUUUGGAAUUUAUCUUUUACAAUGUGUUUCGUUGUUAUAUUUUUAGGGGAAUGCUAGCAACAUUCUCUCUAACCUUCUCCUUUGUAUCUUCUCCCUUUUCCUCAUGACAUGUGUCAUUCUUAUUACACUAAAAACAAUGUCAUUAAUGCAUUAUACAAGCUAACUUUUGCUUUCCAAAUUUACCCUAUUCAAUUGAUCUAAAUUUUUUUUUUUGACAACUUUCUUACCAUCUUAAUAAAAAGUUUAAAAAAUAAAAAAAUAAAAAUUUAACGUCAGUUAUUUUUGGGUCUUUGCUUCUUUUUUGUACAGGUUUUGGCUCUCCUCUAAGCCUUUUUGCCUUGGGUUGUUAUAAAUGUUUUUCUUCGUGACCAUUAAAAAUAGAGUAUAGCAACAUAUUAUAGCCGUUUGUACAAUAUAGAUGCAAACCACUCUUUUGUUUUUCUUUUGUUAAUCUAAACUGUAAUUUAUUUAUUUAUUUUCAUAUUGAAUUCGAUUUUGAUGAUUUUCCUUCUAUAUAUUUUAUCUCAACCUAUGUUGUUAGGGGAUAUUUUGGUUUAUUUAGUAGUAUAAGAAAAUGCAAUUAAGAAAUUUUCUUUAUUAAAAAAAAAAUUUAGUCUGUAAACUCUAUACCAUUGGGGUGCUUAAAAAUGUGAAUGACGUCUUUUUUAUAUAGAAAAUAGAAAAUAGAAAAUUCUUUUGUGUUAAAAAAGAGAGGAAAGCAGACAUUUUCUUUCAAAAAAAUAACUUAUGUUAUAAAUAAAAAUAAUUUUUUUUAUUAAGAUGGUAAGAGAGUUGUUUUUAAAAAAAAAUAAAAAUUAAUUGAAUAGGGUAAAUUUGGGAAACAAAAGUUAGCUUGUAUAAUGCAUUAAUGACAUUGUUUUAAGUGUAAUGAGAAUGACAAAUGUCAUGAGGAAAAUGGAGAAGGUCCAAAGAAGAAGAUUAGAGAGAAGGUUGCUAGCAUUUCCCAUAUUUUUAUGCACAAAUUCUCAUUUUUAAAUGGACCACUCAAAAGUCUAUGAAAGUCAUUUGAAGUCUAUAAAAAUUCAUUGAACUUGGUGGUAGAAGUCCAACAAAUCCACAAAGAAUUCAAUCAAAAUCAAUGUGACGACUAUAAAUGUCAAUAUAAGAAUCAACAAACUCAGCAAAAUUUUAAAAUUCAUUGAAUGAUAAUGUGGAUAUGGCGUGGUUAAUAGCAUUUAUUCUUGUAUAUGAGGUCUUGUGUUGGAUUCCAUCAUCUCUUACGUGUUACUGUAAAUAAUUUCAUAAUAAUUUUAAUUUGUUAUUAUAAGAGCAGUUCCAUUAGUUAGCUAGGGCUGGGGCAAGGGGGGCCCCAAGAAGAAAUUAGCUAGGACUUCGUGGUAGUGAAACAAAUAUUUGUGUACGAAAAUGUGAAGAAAUUAACUUUAAAAGAGUAAAACUUGAAAUUCGGCAACUUUGUGGUAGCAAAGUGAAAAAUAUCCACACACACAUGCAGAUAUAUAUAUAUAUAUAUAUAUAUAUACACCAAGAGCUUCCAUUAUAUAUAUAUGUAUAUAUAGACACACCGAGAACUUCCAUUGAGGGAUUCUUCAAAUAAGUUUAUUUGAGAGAUACCUUCGUAGGGCCCACUCCAUAUUAUAUUUCACUAAUCCAAAUUGUCUAUUUUGUAGACACUCAUUCAAAGAUCAUCUCUACAAAAAAUCACUUGAAUCCGAUAUCAUUUGACCACUUAAUUGAAUAAUUGAAAUUUUAGUAUUUUCUUGAAACACCGUGUUCAUUGAUUUUGUAUGACACAAUUGAAUAUUUAAACUUUUUUUGAUUUAUCUAAUUUUUUGUAAAGAUGAUCUAUGAAUGUAGACUUAAAAAAUAAAUUAUUUCGAUUGUUGAAAAAAAUAUUUGGAGGAGACCCUAAUGGUAUAACAAAUCGAAUAAUAUGACCAAAUUUGAGCAAUUCCAUUCUUAAACAUUGGGAGGUCAUUUCGAUGAUAUUUGAAUCUCAAGAUUAUUCUAUAUAUUAUUUUAUAUUUUCUUUUAUAAACAUUUAAAAUUAAAGUAAAUUAGAAAAAGAAUUCAAAGAUCGAUCAUUGUUGGCCAAUCUGAUCAUGCCUAUAUUACAAAAUUGGCUCCAAAGCCUGGCUUCCUUGGCCUCUAGACAUUGAAAAUGAAAAUUUAUGAAUGAAUUUUAAAUUAUUUAAGAAGAUAUAAAAUUGUCUCCUACGCGGAGUUUUUUUUGGGUGGGGUGUGUUUGGGCCACUUUUCUACUAUGGUGCCACCCUAUGUGCAAUGAGUUCUCUCUUAUCGACACUCUAAAAUAAUCAUCUUACACCUCGGAAACGUAUAUGAAAACCUUUCUGGAGUGCUUGUAGAACUAUGAUUAGUACGAGAAAACAUAUUAUGCUACUUUCAAUUUGUACAGGCCAUUUCAUGGACACAAACUAGCAUGACUUUAUAGCAUAGAAAAUAUCCAACUAAACACAUUGCCAGUGACGAGUUCAUCUCAAUUUAUAGAUAGUAAGAUUUAUCACCAUACAAAAACUCCACUAGCAUACUAAUUUGAACUAGGAAUCACUGCAUAGAAUACUAGCUAGAAUCUAGAAUCCAACGAAGAUUUCUCAAUCCUAUUCAUACAAUUACCGGAAUCCAUAACCUUCAUCAUGUGUUGCCCUCUCCCUUAUCUUCAGAUGAAUCCAAAGCACGUUUCUUCAUCAUCUCGAUAUUUUCAAUAUUAUAGCAAUAUUAUUGUAAUAUUUUGGUCAAAUGUUGUUGAAGGGUGUGAGAAAUUAUCGACAUCAAUAUUAUCAAUAAUUAUACGAUAUAUAUAUAUAUGUAUAUAUAUGUUCUAAAAUAUCCUAAACUCGAAAAAACAAUAAUAUCGAUGAUAUUUCUUCGAUAUUCUCGAUAUUUUAGUCCUUGAAGAAAACAAUUUAGCAAUUUACCACCUAAACUUCAUUUUUGGUGCAAAAAACUAAAUUUUUUCAACACACCCCUAAUAAUCCAGAUGGUAUAUGUGCAAAAUUCCCAUAAUGAAAUUUUAAGAAAAAAGGUAAUAGUAUGAGCAUUUCUUUUUGGAACUUGGAAAGAGAGGGAAUGGACCAACGUCUUAAAUGAUAAAAAAUGUCUAUAUAUAAUAUCUAAAUGGUAAAAAAUAUCAAUCUAUAAUAUCAAAAUGGCAUAAAUUUUAAAAUAUGACACAAUUAUUGAGUAAGGGAUUUUCCAUUAGAACCAUGAUCACAUUUAUUAUUUCUUAAUUAAUUAUGACACUCUCUUCAUCAUGGAAAAAAAUUCCCAAAAUUUUCUUUUUCUUUAUAAAUAGUUAGAUAGAAAGGAUGAGAAUCACACAGUAAACACUCCGACACAGGAAUUUUAUGAAGAUGGCUACUCUCUCUCGAUCUUCUUGCAUCAUCAUUGUUCUCCUUGUCUUCACUGCAGGUAUAUUUUUUCAUUUGGGCUUGCAUGAUUUUUUACAAAUGUGUAUGUUGAAAUUUUACUUUGGGGAUCAAUAAAAGCUAACUAAUUAAGCGUAGAGAUUUUUCCACUCUCUUUUUCCUGUUUGCACUCCAACAAUUGUUUUUAUCUGUUAAUUCUUCUUCUUAUUUAUAAAAAAAAAAAAAAAAAAAAUUGGUUUUCAUUUAGCAUUGAUAUUAAAUAAUUAAUACUACCUAAUCUAAGCUGAUGUUUUAUAGGGACCCUAAUGCCCAUGGUGAAAGGUGACGUUUGCACAGAAGACGUAGGUACAUGUGGUGAUGACUGCAGUUCAAGGUGCGCAUCUGCACAUCCUGGGGCGAAGGCUGCCUGCGUUUUGAACAACAUCCCAGUUUGUAGAUGCUACUUCGACUGUGGACCUCCAGUCCCACCGCCAUACUCAAAAACUUGCAAAUUAAGCUUGGGAAUAUGGGGUGAGAGGUGCUCUGAGAAGGACUGCAACUCACAGUGUGCUGCCAAAUAUCCUGGACCCCAACAAGGAAUGGGAUACUGUUAUAGUGUUGGAGCUCCUGUUUAUACUUCUUGUUUUUGUCAAUACAAGUGUUAGCUUUCAGCACAAGGAUUAUGGACAUUCAAAUAAAGGGGCUAAUUAAUUUCAUUGUGGCCAACAAAAUAUACAUGAUUUAUUUUCUUUCUUUAUAUUUUUCUUUGAAUUUUUAUGAGUGUCGCUAUUAUCACCCACUAGGUCUAAUGUGGAGUCCCAAGUGCCUUAUUGAGCAAAUUUCCCAAGUGGUUCCCGAACUUUUGAAAAGUCCUCAUUUUAAUCCUCAAACUCUGAAAUCAAUCAAUGUGAUCCUUCAUCUUUUGGUCUACACAUCAAUUUGAUCCUUCAUGUCGCAGUACGACAAAAUUGUCAUUAGAUUUAAUCACAUGACCAACUUUAAAUAGGUACUUUCAUAAGAAUAUAGCUCAUUUUAGUUCUUAAACUCAUAGUUUUGCUCAAUAAGGCCAUAUUCUCUCUAUUUAAGGUUUUAUAUUUGGGUUCCAUUAAGGAGAACAGAUAGUCUUGUUGAAAAAAUACGUUGAAUUUAUUUUUGUCAUGAGGGGAUAAAUUGUAUUUCAAAGGAAAUACAGCUUUAAAGUUAGUCAACAAAUAUUUGAUGGAAUGCGACAAGAGGGACCAAACUAAUGCGUGGACCAAAUUAAGGACCACAUUGAUUAAUUUCAAAAUUUGAGGACUUCAAUGAUCCAAGCCACUUAUUUUUCAAGUCUUUAUUCAUAGAUCAUCAUAUGACGUCCGCAUCAUAAUAAUGUUCGGCCGUCCGCAUAGGAGAACUUCUAUAUAUACGCAUAAUAAUCCAAGCUGCCUAUUUCUGCCUUGUUCAAGACUAGGUUGCUUGCUGCUAUUGCAUCUAUUUAUAUACUUUUGCUCUUUUUUACCUAAUGAUUGUAUUCAUGCUGUGAAUCUUUUAACUGAGAGCUAGCUCCUCUAACUCUUCAUCUCUAUGGCACCCUUGUUAUCUGUACAACUCCUCAUUUGAGAGCGCAGCUAGUGAUGACGAUGAAGGGACUGAAGCGUUUGACUUGGGUUGAAUGAAGCGUUGGGUUUUGUUUUUUGGAUUUUUGGAAUUUUUUUUUCUUCUUUUAGGCCAUAAGUUACGCUGUCAAUCUUCCCCCAAUAAAAACUUCGGGUCUCACUUUCAUGCUCUGUGAUGAAUGUGCAUUAUUCGUCACAUUUAGUAAAAAAAUUGGGGGCCAAAUUUCCUGCUAUUUAAUAUGUGACGACACCGAAAUUAUAAUCUGACGAACAUGAAGUGAAAAUUUUGUUACGUCCCUUCAAGACGUUUUGGUGACGACUUGCAAAAUUCCUCACUUAUACAAGCCAAUUGUGACGGAAUUUUCAACACCACAUAAAAUUUGGUCACAGAAUGCCUAGUUUCUUGUAGUUUUUGUAACAGUGUACCUCCUUAUGGGUCAUCGAUAAAGUUGACGUCGUCGUAGUGCCUCAACCCUUUUCCGCUCCAAUUCAUCUUCGUUUCGUUUCUUAAUUAGCUCCUUUAUAUUCUUUACUAGAAUCUCAUUCGUGAUAAGUUGACACGAGUGACACCUAUUAAAUGCCAGAUACUUCUCAUUUUUCCUAAACUUUUGGCAUACUAUAUAAUACAUAAUCGAAACGGCUAGCUUGGAUAAAAUAUAAUCAUGAGUGAGAUCAUAAUCGAUCACAUUCAUUCGGAGAAUAUCCUUAAAAUUAAACUUUCAUAUUUUGAAGUUUGAUCUAGUGAGUGUUUCAAUUUGUGAGAAAUUGAUUAAGGAAGGAUUCGAUGUUGUAAGGAUUUUCAAAAGAAAAUAUAAGUACUUUCCAAGAAACCGAUUCUCAAUUUGUUAAGAGAAAACAGUUUUUCAGUUUAACUUUAAUCCACAAAACUAACAAAUAACAGAUGCAAGCUUCCUUGAUUAAGUAUCACACCUUUGUAGCAAGAGAUUACUUAUAGCUUACAAACAAAUUACGUAUUAUUUUGUGCCAUCAUAAACAAAUUACAAAAUAGAUUCUAUUUGUUGAAGAAACUUAUCAAGUAAUUUAGGUAUGAUAUAAUUUAGGUUAUUUCUUUAGGGUUUGAGUAUUUAAGUUUGGUUUUGUUAUGAAAAAUUUGUUGAUUCUCAAAACAAAAGCAAGUUCCUAUCUAGCACACAAAAAUAACCAAACAGAACACAAUCUGAGAGAAAACCUUAAAAUUACAGUGAACAAUGUUUUUGACGUGAACAGUGUGGGAACCAAAUUAAACCUGAACCAUAGGUCAAAUAAUUAGGCCAAUCAAUUUGGGAAUUAUUUGACCUAAUUAGGAGUUACCUAACCUAAUUGGGAGUUACCAAACUUAAUUGGGAAUUACCUAAUCAAAUUGGGGGUUACUUGAUCCUCACCUUAAUUAGGGAUUCGGUUAAAUCCCUAAUCCCUAAAUACACCAACCUCACCAACCACACCAAUCUCACCAACUACACCAACCCCACCAACCUUUCCAAGGUCAUUAUAAAUACUUGGUUACGCAUAAGGAUGAGGUACGUCAGAAUUACUGCUAAAACCUCUGUAGAGAUCUUCCCUCACAGAGCCUAGCUACCUCCUCUCUCUCUCUCUCUCUCUCUCUCUCUCUCUCUUUCUCUUUCUCUCUUUUACAUAAGGCUCCGGCUGCCCGGUUUAUAUUAUAAACAUAUCUCCAUACCCUAUUAGCUAUUAUUUUCUAUACGAUUCAAUUGAACUAAUUUAGGCAUCGGAAGGCCUUUGCCCAACACCCCCCGGUGUGGUCCUCGUAUUUGUUCUAUUUUGCAGGGAGAAAGAGGCGGCAAAGAAGAAAGAGGAAUCUUUCCAAUCGAAUAUUCUCGUGGAGAAAUUUGCUCCCACAAAUUGGUGCUUUCAUUGAGAGCACGAGUUAUACUCAACGCGUGCUCAAGGAAUCCGUUCCUCCUAUUUUCCAAUCAACUAAAGCCAUUCCACCCACGAUCCCGUGAUCGACAUGGUGGCGCCACCACCUCUCACCACCGUGCCACCUACCGGACUUCCAGCUGAGACCACUGCACCGGCCACCGCCGCCGAAUAUGGUGGAACCUCCCAUCAAGGUGGGCUCGUUACCACCGCCGACUUAGGCUCAGUCUUGGAGCAACUUCAAGCAUUUCCUCCAUUGCUUCCACGCUCCACACACUUCUCACCUCUCGAUCCACGAAGUCAAGCAAACCUUAGUCUAAGAGUUGGCCAGCUAGCUCAGAGAAUGGACGACCAAAGCAGUCUGAGGAGGCAGCUUCUCAACCAAAUAAGCUUGGCUCAAAACCUUGGCCUUGGAUAACCGGGCGAAGAGAGAAGGAUGGACGAACACGAUGGUAGGCAGCACGACGAGUACCAAGCAGGACGAGCAAGAGUAAGCAGACAAGGCGAUGGACAACAACGUGAUCGGCCUGCCGACAUGUCGCAGGCAUCUGUGAGCCACACUCAGAGCAGACGAAGUCACCCAUCCAGGUUGAGCCUGAGGAACGACGUGCGCGAGAGGCUGGGCCCACGAUCUGACAUCCAUGUCCGCCUGGGCCCGCAGGGAAAUGUACAUCAAAGGCUAGGUCCCCAGUGAGGUCAGCUAAACAACCAUCUCAAUGAGGAUCGUGAAGAAAGACGCUUAACUAUCCACUCGCAGAGGAACAUUCACGAAAGGCAAGGCCCCCAGGGAGGUUAACUGGAUAACCCUCACAAUGAGGAUCACGAAGAAAGGCUCUCCGCUGCUCACUCUCGAAGAGUCGACUCUCACCAACAAGCUACAGAGAAUCUUUCACAAGUAUAGUCCACCAACGCGCCACCUUGGCAGCGCAGGUGAGAAGGUCGACCCUCGGAGGACAAUGAGGAAGUCAGUCAAUAUUGUGGAGGUCACCAACGUAGUCGACUAGCAAUGUGUGCAGAAGACGUUGAGAAGCUCGUGAAUGACUGACUUCGAGACUUGAAGACCGGAGGAAACUUCGAGGAUUCACUACGUAAGGAGAUGGACCAGGUGAACUCUACUCCUUUCACCCUCGAUAUCGAGCAGGUUGCUCACCCAAAGUGAUUCUCGACACCCGCGUUCAUACACUUCAAAGGGGAUACCGAUCCCGAGAGCCAUUUAAAACACUACAAAAGUGUUAUGAUCCUCCACCAGGCUGACGACGCGCUAAUGUGCAAGGUAUUUGCGAUGACCUUGCGAGGAGCAGCCCAAGACUGGUUCCACACCCUACCAUCCGGGUCGAUCAGCAGCUUCAAGGAGCUGGCUUACGUCUUCACCAAAGAAUACACCUCUUACCGGACAAUCAAGAAGAACCCUGACCACUUGUACAACCUGCGCAAGAAGUUUGACGAAUCCCUUCGAGAUUACAUCAAGAGAUUCAAGGCAGAAAAGGCGAACAUUGUAGGAUGUGACGACCGAAAAGCGUCCUUUGCUUUCAAAAAAGGCCUUCCAACUGAGCACGACUUGUACCGCGAGCUGACUAUCACUCUCAGCCAGACUCUGGCAGAGGUCUACGUGACUGCGGAACGCUAUGCACUCUGGGAUGACAAUUAAAUCACCGCAAAGAAGUCUACAAAGCAGGAAGAUCAGUCGAUUAAGCGGGCAGGCCAAAGAAGCGACAGAUUUAACAACAGGAAUAAGGACUAGCGUAUGUCGCACCCACAAAGGGAGGCUACGGCAAGAGAGAACUAUACCAAGUUCACCAUCCCCAUACACCAAAUCUUAGCCCAAGUGAAGGACAAACCUUGGGUAAGAAGACCGCCACCCUUGAAAGGACAUCCAGACAAGAGGGAUACUAGCAAAUACUGUGCCUUCCAUGGGACGCAUGGGCACACUACAAACAACUGCUUUGCUUAGAAAGCGCACCUUGAAGAACUUGUGAGAGAAGGCCACUGCACUGAAUUCAUUGCGAAGCAGGCCAUCCAACAGAUUGAGGAUUGAGACACCGCCAAGGAGCCGCCUCAGAAGGUCAUAAGGAUUAACACAAUCCUAGCCGACUUCGAGGAGUUUGGGCUGACCAACAAGGAAAAGAAGAGGAAGAUCAAACAGGCCACUGUGAUUUCCCAAGUCUCGACCGACCUUCCAUCAGUAGAAGACGAUCCUGUGAUCGGCUUUCAAAAGAAAGAUCUGAUCGGCCUCGACAUGCCACAUAACGACGGCCUUGUCAUCAGCAUUCAAAUCCCCCAGGCCAUGGUCGACCGAAUCCACGCAGAUAAGGGCAGCAUAGCCAAUAUCCUACAACUGUCGGUCAUCCAGCAGAUGGGCUUGGAGACAAAGAUCAACAAAUCAGCCAGAUCGCUGACCGGCUUUAAUGGUGCAACAAUAGUUAUCGUGGGCAGGAUAAACAUCGACGUGUACUCCCUACCUGUAAUCAGCUCACAAACAUUCAUGGUCAUUAAUGAGGUCUCACCCUACAAUGGCAUUCUGGGGAAACCAUGGAUCUGCAAGAUCAACGCCAUCACCUCCGAGACAUAUCAAAAAAUUCGGUGCUCAAUUCUUAGAGGCGGUGUCAGGCAAUGGCGAGGAAAUGCUCCGCCCAGGGGCUGAAGAAAAGCAAACAAGCACAGUUCCUUUCUGUGAGCCAGGCAGAUCUGAAUGAAGAUGAACAACCGAAUCUUGCUCUCUUAUAGUAAUCAAAGCGUUAAGACCAAGCUGAGGAAAUCCGUCCAGAAGUCUUUCCUGAAGAAGGAUGGAAACCCGAGGAGGAUGUCGAGUUAAUACCCUUGGAUCCUGACCAACCAGAUAGAAAAGCGCGGAGUGGCUCGCGCCAAAGCCCAGACGAGAAGGUAGAGCUUACCACCUUCCUCCAGAGUAACAAAGAUAUGUUCGUGUGGUCACCAUCAGACAUGCUUAACAUCGACCUGAACAUCAUCGGUCACCGACUCCACGUCAACCCGCCCUGUAAACUAGUGACGCAGAAGAGACGCAACUUCGCACCCAAACGAGUCGCUAUCAUCGAAGUCGAGAUUGACAAACUCCUAGCUGCCGGCUUCAUCUUAGAGGUCUACUACUCAUAGUGGCUUGCCAAGAAAAUGGCAAAUUAAAGGUUUGCGUCGAUUAUACAGACCUUAACAAAGCAUGCCCUGAAGACAACUUCCCAUUGCCGAGAAUCGACAAACUCGUGGAUUCCACUUCUGGCAAUCAACUGCUCAGCUUCAUGGACGCCUACUCCAGUUAUAACCAAAUCUUGAUGCACGAGGAUGACAAGGCAAGGAACUUCUUUCAUCAUCGAAAGAGGGACCUACUGCUACAAGGUCAUGCACUUUGGGCUGAAGAACGCCGGAGUAACCUAUAAAAGGCUUGUGAAUAAAAUCUUCAAGAAGCAGAUCGGCAAAACUAUGGAGGUUGACGUGGAUGACAUGUUGGUCAAAGCCCCAAAACGUGCAGAUCACAUCAAAAAUCUUGCCGAGGCAUUCAACCUGCUUCGCCAGUAUUGCAUGAUGUUGAACCCGAGUAAGUAGACAUUUGGUGUAUCAUUCGGCCGAUUCUUGGGAUACCUAGUCAUGAAACGAGGUAUCGAGGCACACCCGCGUCAAAUCAAAGCCAUUCUCGAGAUGAAGCCACCUCAACCGAUUCCUCUCGAGAUCUACCGACAAGUGCAAACUAUUUUUCAAAGCUUUGAAGAAAGGACAAAGAGACAAAUGGGAUGAGGAAUGCGAAGUAGCUUUCCAUAAUCUAAAGACUUACCUCACUUCACAUCCCCUGCUCUCAAAGCUAAUUCCUGGCGAAGACCUAUACGUAUACCUGGCAGUGUCCAACUCAGCUGUUAGCUCAGCUAUCAUCCAAGAAGAACUGGGAACCCAACAUCCGGUAUUCUACAUGUCAAAAGCUCUCCUCGAUGCAGAAACUCGCUACCUGAAGUUGGAGAAGCUCAUUUUGGCUCUUAUAGUUUCCACAAGAAAGCUACGAUUCUACUACUAAGCUCACCGAGUCGUCGUCAUGACCGACUUUCCUUUAAGAUCAAUCCUCCACAGCCUUGACGCUUCUCAGCGACUUAUGAAGUGGGCUAUAGAGCUAAGUCAAUACGACCUCCUCUACCGACCAAAAAUUGCAAUAAAAGCCCAAGCUUUAGCAGACUUCGUCGCAGAAUUCACCCCAUCAGUCGAAGAAAAGAAGCUGGUAAACAAAAAUAAGGAAAGUUCAAAAGCAAACGGAGCAUCGAACCAAAAGGAAGCUGGAGCAAGAGUCGUCAUCACCACCCCGAAUGGAACACUGUUGGAGCAAGCUAUUUCGCUUGGAUUCCCAGCCUCGAACAACGAGGCAGAAUACGAGGCAUUGCUCGCCGGCCUACGCUUGGCAAAAGAGCUCGCAAUCAAGAAGCUAGCCAUCUACUCAGAUUCACAGUUGAUUAUGAAUCAAGCCUCAGGUGAAUACAUGGCGAAGCACCCAAGGAUGAUCUUGUACCUUGACAAAGUCCAAGAGCUGUUGAAGGCAUUUCCUACCUUCACCAUCCAAUAAGUGCCCCGGGCAGAGAACGAGCAUGCAGACGCACUGGCAAGCCUAGGGUCAGCGCUGGAUACCCAGUUCAGACGCUCCAUCCCGGUCGAACACCUUGACCGACCAAGCAUUGAAGAAAUAGAGCCGGUCAACAUAAUGCAGAUUGACGAGGACCCCAGCUGGCAAGAUCCCAUCAUCGACUACUUGACGAAUGGAAACCUGCCUACGGACAAGUCCGAAGCUAGAAAGGUCCAGCAGAAGGCCGCGAGAUACUACAUGCAUAGCAACAAGCUCAUCCGCAGAUCAUACUCCGGCCCUCAUUUCACCUGCAUAAAGUACCCUCAAACACUUGAGGUCCUCUGCAAAAUUCACGACGGCGAGUGUGGCAACCACUCUGGGGGCAGAUCGCUCGCCCAGAAGACUUUAAACAUAGACUACUUCUGGCCUACCAUGUGCCAUGACUCCGCCGAAUAUGCUAAGAAAUGUGAUCGCUGCCAACGAUACAAGUCGGUCCCUAACCUACCUGUUGAAGUCUACCAUUCGCAAAACAGUCAAUGGCCAUUCAUGCAAUGAGCCAUUGACUUAGUGGGCCCCUUGCCACAAGUACCCGCCAAGAAAGAAAUGAUGAACGUCGCCACUGAUUACUUUAUUAAAUGGAUCGAGGCCGAAGCUCUUUCCUCUACUAAAGAAGCCGAUGUGGAGCGAUUCAUCUGGAAAAACAUAAUCUGCCGGUUUGGCUGCCCACAGUCGCUGGUUACUGACAAUGGCUCGCAGUUCAUUGGCAAGCAGAUCACCGCAUUCUUUGUGAUAUACAAGAUCAAGCAACACCUCUCCACCCCGAGGUAUCCACAAGGAAAUGAGCAGGCCGAGGCAUCCAAAAAAGUCAUAUUAGACUGCUUGAAGAAAAGGCUAAAAGGUGCUGAAGGGAAAUAGGUGGAUGAAGUCCUCGGACUACUAUGGGCUUAUUGCACCACUAAGUGAAGAUCGACUGGCGAAACCCCAUUCUCCCUCGCCUAUGGGACAGAAGCGAUCAUCCCCUUUCACAUCACAGUCCCCUCCAUAAGCCUUGAGGUGGGCAGUGUUGAUAAGAACUCCGAGCAGAUGAGGCUCAACCUUGACUUACUUGAGAGCGAGCACGAGAAGACCAUUAUUCCAGUCGCCUCCUAUCAGUAGCAGUUGAAGUCUUACAAUGACAAAAGAGCCAGGGUCAGACAGUUUCAACAGGCGACCUCGUGCUAAGGAAGGCUUUCAUCACUGCACAAAGGCAAGGGUCAAAAAAGAUUAAUCCCAACUAGGAGGGCCCUUAUGUGAUCAGUCGGGCCAGGGGCAAAUGAAGCUACACACUGGACACCGUGGAUGGAAAGGAAAUACCAUGAUAAAGGAAUGCUCACCAUCUCCAAAAGUAUUAUUUGUAGUGCUUCCUCCUGGCUGCUAGAAGUUCUAAAUUUUUGUGCCUAGUUAUUUCCAUUUUCGAAUAAAGGACUGUAAUCUUAUGAAUAUCAAUAUAAGUUCAGCUUCUCAUUCCAAAAUGUCUCAUCUACCCACAAAACACAACAGUUGCCUAUAAGAAGCGUCCUUAGGGAGACGAAGGGUGCGCUAGGAAUUUCCUAUGAGAGAUAUUUAGGUUCCUAUCCAUUUCCUAAGGGAGGUAAGAUAGACACACAGUUGCCCAUAAUGAACGUCGUAAGAGAGACGCAGGGCGACAACUAGAAGCGUCCGUUUGAAGACGCAGCCCGCGAAAAAAGCGUCCUAAGGGAGACGCAGGGUACACUAGGAGUUUCUUAAAAUGGGGUGUCCAUGCUCUCUGAGGGAAAUAUCCAGGUUCCUAUCUGUUUCCUAAGGGAGGCAGGAUAGACACACAGUUGCCCAUAAGGAGCGUCCUAAUGGAGAUGCAGGGCGACGACUAGAAGCGUCCGUUUGGAGACGCAGCCCGUUAAAAAAGUGUCCUAAGGGAGACGCAGGGCGCGCCAGGAAUUUCUUAAAAGGAGGUCUCCAUGCUUCCUGCGGGAAAUAUCCAGGUUCCUAUCUGUUUUCUAAAGGAGGCAGGAUAGACACACAGUUGCCCAUAAGGAGCGUCCUAAGGGAGACAUAGGACAACAACUAAAAGCGUCAUUUGGGAGACGCAGAACAACAACCAAUGCAUCCUACGGGAUGUGCAGAACAUGUCCAGAGUCCCUCAAGGGGGACCUUGACACUCGUCAACUUCCUAAGGGGAACUAUCCUACGGGACAUGCAGAGCACACCCGGAGUUCCUCAAUGGGGACCCUAGCACUCACAAAUCUCCAAAGGGAAAUGUGCAAUCAAAACACAAGCUGGUUACUCAAGCAGUUCACUAGUCAAGUAUGCAAAUUAAAGUUGGAAAAUAUAACUGAAAUUUCCAUAACAAGCAGACCAACCGGCCAAGUUCAACAAAAAGAAGAUGGUCAGACAAGACCAAUUAUUCUAAACAAGAAAGCAAACUACAAAAGCUGAAAAGAAACAAAGAAGUCUUCAUAUACUCCAAGACGCCAGCAGGAGACCUCUGAUCCGCAGCCACUUCGGCAUCCACCUAAUCAACUACGCCUUCAGCAGCUCCAUCCGUCUGCUCUGCGACAUCUGCCAUCAACUCAUCCACUGCAUCCUCAUCUGCUCCAUCCUCUCCGGCUGCCGCAUGGAAUAAGUCAGGGCAGAACAUCUCAAUGUCUACAUCGUCAAUCGCAUAAAAAGGAGUAGUCCCAUUUGCACAGUGCAGGUAGCCCAACUUGUACGCAUCUAUGGUGGCUUCAGACUUGGAUUUUUUAGCAGACUUGUGGUAGGCACGAAAUUUGGCUAGGAGCUUGUCAUAGUUAAGAAAGACGUUAGCAUUCUUGCGCUGAAGAUGAAAAAAGGCAUCUUUUCGACUAGCCAAGUCAGCAGCAGAAGAGCUGAGCUCGGAAUCCUUCUCUAUAAGAGAGCUUUUCAGCUCAAAUAUCAUCGCCCUCAAAUCAAACGUCUUCUUCUCAUAACGGGCCUGCUUGACAGAAAGCUUGUAGCCCAACUCAGCAUUCUUCUUCUCCAGCUCUGCUGAGGGGCAGCAGCAGACGAGUUUCGGAUAGUCUCGGCAGCAAAAACCAAUCCCUUUUGAAUCAGAUAGAAUGUCGCUUCCCUUUGCUUUUCCAAGGAAAGGCUAAAAAAAGUGUCAAGAUCACCAGCUUGACGGAUGUGAUCGACCAACUCAGUACAUGAGGACGGGUUUAAUAGGAAGUUUGUCUUGAGCGGGUCAGACAUGCAUGUAUCCCUUGCAGGGCAAGACCUAUUCACCUUGGGAUCAACCGCCGAUGCUGAAGAAGAACCCUUCGCCCGGGCAGACGACUCUCUCAUCUUCUUAGCCUCAGCCAACCUCACCUCCAAAGGAGUCAGUGAUGCUGAAUCAACUCCACGCUUGAUUGCCCGUGGCUCAACAACCGGAUUAUGAACAGACUUCCCGCUUCGAUUGCCCGACUGAUGCAGAAGACUCGGACUCCGUAGAGAAAUAUCUGCGUCUCUUUGGCGCUCGGCACAGCAGGCACGAACUAUCUCACGAAGUAGGUCAUGAUUGCCAAGCUCGACAGUAGGAACUUGAGUCUUUUCAGCAAAAUGGGACUUUGGUUUCUUCCUCGAUGGAGACUCAUUCUUUGCGUGCGAAGAAGUAGCUUCAUCUCUUGAAGAUUUGGCAGCAGCCUUUCUCUUUGAAGUGGAUUCAGCCAAGCACUUCCCUUGCUUAGCAGGGAGAUCAUCAGGGUCAGGACCGUUCUACUUCCACCUUUCGACAUCCUCGGUAGGGGGCAAACCACCGUCUUCCUCCCGGUGCUCACUCAACAGCCAGCACCACUCGCGAAACCUUAGAGGGAUGUUCAAAGCACGACAGACCUUAGCCAUGUCCCGUGCAAGCUCCAAUUGCUUGCUGAUGUCACUCACUACAAGCGGAAGACAAAAGUUAGUUAGCCACGCUUCAAGAAAUUCAAAUAAAAAGGAGUAGAUCAAAAACCGCAAAAAGACAUACUAUCACAGUAGGUGAUGGGAACAAGUGGGCCGUCACCAACAACGCCUUCCCACCGUCCGCUGACUUCCAACACAUCGUCAUGCCAAGCGUGAUCUCUUUGACUAAGACUGUCAAACAGCUUGGCCUUGUAAAUGCGAACUUGGGCAUACUCCUCGAAGUGCCUCACUUCGAAAAAAUAGAAGAACUCCCGCACCAUCAGCUCCAGCAUAAAGAAACGGCUCAGAUUUUCAAAACAUAUGACAGCCCGGUAGACAUUCGAAGUACACUGACUCGGAGCACAUCCCAUGGCGCAAAACACCUCCUUGAAAAGCUUUGACAUCGGGAACUUGAAACCCAAGAAGAAGUAAAAGGGAUGGAACGUGAUGACUCUAGCAUUUGGAAGGUUCGCAUCCACGCAGGGCACGGCGUUAGUCAAAGGCUUUGCCAACUUGAUAUGCACAUCGUCAGGAAUUGCAGAAGCAUAAGCAGCUCGCCACCUCUAGAGUUGACCUACAUUCAUAACGCGGUGCAGGUUGGCCACAAACCUUUUCUCGUGCACCUCGGAACCUCCCCACAAAUACAAAGGCACCUGAGAGCUUGGAGCCUUGCUACCAUCUCCGGAAGACAUGAUUGGUCAACGAGUAGUUGCAAAAAGAAAAAAAUUCUACAAGUUAGAAUACAAGAAAUAUUUGCAAGUUGGAAAAAAAAAAGAAAAAAAAAGACAGCAGCAAAAAUAAAUAAAUAAAUAAAAAUUGAGCUGCUGGGAUCAGCCCAAGUCAAAGGAAGUCAGCCCAGCAGGUGCUCCAGCACGAAACCCAGCAGUCGUGACAGCCCAGCUUGCUCCUCCAGCACACCACAGGCCGAGGUAGCAUGCUAGGCCCUCCUAGCCUUUCUGACCAGCUAGCUCCAGCGCCUGCAUUCGCAAGCCCACGCCAUGCGAAAAGCCCAAUGCUGCCUCUCCUAGCGCGAGCCCACUCCGCGCCCCAGGCCUGGAGCCACCAGACUACCAGUUUGAAGCCCAGCGUAGCCUGCUCGAGCCCACUAGCCUCCAGACCUCCAUGCUCGAGCCCAAUGUGCGCAGUCUCAAACCUGCCAGCCUCCCAAAGUCUCCAGCCAGGCUUCCAAUUAUAAUUACGUCCCGUGCCUCACAACUCCAAUGACCAGCUAGAAGGCAUGGUCCAAGCUGCCAAAAAAUUGGAAUAAAAGGAAAAAAAUUAUGAACAGCCCAAGAUUAAUUACCUUGGGUGUGUAGCGAGGACAAAGUCUCAGGCACGUUGAAAAAAUCUCCAAAGUUCUCUCUCUCACUGGCAAAUUUGGAGGAAUGAAUUUUUGAUGUGAAGAAUAAAUUAGAGGAGCCCUACAUUUUUAAGGAGCAAAAUCCCUUGACCUACAAUGAAUCUCAAAACCUUUCCAAAAUGGGAGUUCAUAAAAUUAGCAAUUUGAACACCUCCUCCACUCGGGAGCCCAGGUCCACGAAGGAAGCCCAAUUACAACCCAACAGACAGUUUACAUCUCCUACACGCAACCACGCACCAUGCACUAGGGGGCAUUUGUGGGAACCAAAUAAAACCUGAACCCUAGAUCAAAUAAUUAGGCUAAUCAAUUUGGAAAUUAUUUGACCUAAUUUGGAGUUACCUAACCUAACUGGGAGUUACCUAACCUAAUUGGGAAUUACAUAAUCAAAUUGGGGGUUAAUUGAUCCUCGCCUUAAUUAGGGAUUCGGUUAAAUCUCUAAUCCCUAAAUACACCAACCUCACCAACCACACCAACCUCACCAGCUACACCAACCACACCAACCUCACUAACUACACCAACACCACCCAACCUUUCCAAGGCUACUAUAAAUACUUGGUUACACACAAGGAUGAGGUACGUCAGAACUACUGCUAAAACCUCUGUAGAGAUCUUCCCUCACAAAGCCUAGCUACCUCCUCUCUCUCUCUCUCUCUCUCUUUUACAUAAGGCUCCGGCUGCUCGGUUUAUAUUAUAAAUAUAUCUCCGUACCCUAUUAGCUAUUGUUUUCUAUACGAUUCAAUUGAACUAAUUUAGGCAUCGGAGGGCCUUUGGCCAACACCCCCCGGGUGUGGUCCUCAUAUUUGUUCUAUUUUGUAGGGAGAAAGAGGCGGCAAAGAAGAAAGGGAAAUCUUUUCAAUCGAAUAUUCUCGUGGGGAAAUUUGAUCCCACAAACAGUGUUUUUGGAGUUUUCGAUGUCCCUUUUUAACCCAAAAUACCUUUCCGAAUAGAGAAUGGCGUAACUAACAGAACUUACUGCGUAGCAGUGACGUAAGGCCAUUUUUAGGUUUUAAGGUCAUUUAGGAUGUCAAAAAAGGUUUUAAAGUUUUGAAGAUAUAAAAAAUCAAUUGAAACAUGCUUUUUCCAGAUUCUUUAAUAUUCAUAGUAUUUAGAAAGAUGUUUAAAACUGUUAUCAAAAUUUUAAACAUAACCAAAAUAGUCAUGACAUCAACGGAUAAAGAAAUUGCAAUAGGCAUGCUUGAAACGAUCUCAGUGUGUGUGAGUAACCAUGUGCUCUGAUACCAACUUUUAAAUUUUCUAUAUAAGUGUCCAUUAUCUUUCACAUAAUAUGAACCAAAACACAACUUAGUAGUUUUUCACCGCGUAGUAGUAUUGCCAAGCAUACACGUAUUAUAACAUUAGUAUAUUAAUAAUGAUUAAUUUUAGUUUGGUGCCCUGAACUCUCACUCUUAAGGCUUGUUUGUUCCUACGCUCUCAAUUUUAACAAUAAAGUACGACCCUAAGCUUGGAAAUUUAUUGCAAUUUGGUUCUGUAGUUAGAAUGACUAUUAAAAAAUAUGUUAAUUGAUAAUGUGGCAAACGUGGUACCUGCUUCUUUAAACUUGAUUAUAAUAUUAAUAAAAUAUUACAAAUCAAUUAAAAAUAAAAAUAAAUGAAAAUAUAAUGAAAUUGAAGGGGAAAAACAGUAACCCAGAACCCACCGUCCUCCACGGCCACCACAACCAUUGGUGCCACCCUUGAAGCCUAACAAGGUUUUCAUGUAUGAUUACAGACAUAGCAGCAAAGAAAAAAACUCUUAUAAACAGAGCCAAAGUCACCUUCUCCAAACUUGUUAGAGGACUGGAAGCCAUUAGUGGCAGACUUCAAUUCCUUGGAAGAAAAAAUUCUGAAGCUUUCUUGAUUUUAGGGUAUUUAACAAGUACAAAAAAGCAAUCAAGAACACAGUAAAAUCACAACAAAAAUACAGAGGCACACAUGCUUGAUUUUGCCAAAGGUAUGUACUUGACAAUGCUUGAAAGCAGAAAUCUUGGAACUCACUGUGGAUCUUGUAGAGGUUGUACGGGUAGAGAUUGACCAAGAAUGACGAAUUUGUGCCCGGAGGAACUGGAGCAAGGAUCUUAUGACGGUGUCCAGGACGAGCUCUUAGAAUUGAGCGGAGGAAGGGGAAAUGGCGUCGUGACGACGUUGAUAAUUGAGAAGGUGGUGGAUACAGACAUCUUGUGGAUGCCGAGGUCACCGAGGGGAGAAAUUAUACAAUGAUACGGUAUCACCAGGUCCCACUCAACUGAGGGAGGGUGUGUUGAAGAAUAUGAGUCCACAUCGGAAACUUGAUUAAAUAAAGACUUAAAUGUCAAAAUAGUCCCUGUGUUUUAAUCAUUUGGCCAAUUUAAUCCCUGUGUUUUUAAUUUGGCCGAUUUAGUCCUUGUGUUUUCCUCCGUUAGCUAAUAUUAUCCAUUCCAUUAAAUUAUUAUUAAAAAAGUUCAUUAAAGUUUUAAAAAUUAAUAAAAACUGUAAUUAUUUUAAAUAAAAAAAAAUUACAAGUUCACUUUAAUGAUUAACAAAAUAAAGGCCUGCAAGCCUCAAAUUCUCCGAUUGAUCACCACCGAUUCAAGCCUCUAAUAAAAAGUUAUCCGAUUUGCAUCAACACCGCCAGUCUCUUCUACAUGCCCGUAAUACAAUUCAUGGGGUGGAUAAAAACAUUAGCAAGAGUAAAAGGGCCUCGACAGCCAUGAAAAGAAGGAUGAACAAGAACAAAUGGCUCUUGCAAUCAUGCUUAUCCUUUAUCUUAUUAAGCUUACCUGCUAGCCUACUGCUGCACUGCCUUGUGCCUAUUUUUGUUUCUCUUAACAAAAAGAUUAACAAAAUAAAAAAAAUUUGGAAACCCAACCUCUAAACCCUCUUCUUCUCUCCAACAGCCAACACCAAACCACCAUGAGCGAUCCCACCCAACCACUUCCCCCCUGGAAUGUGGUGGCUGGUCUUAAUUUUUUAUUAAAUAAUUAGAGAUUUUUAAUUAGUUUAAAUAACAUUUAUGAAUUUUUUAAACAACAAUUUAACGGAAUAGAUAACAUUGACUAACGGAGUAAAACACAAGGACUAAAUCAACCAAAUUAAAAACACGGGGACUAAAUUGGCCAAAUAAAUAAAACACAGGGACCAUUUUAACAUUUAAGCCUUAAAUAAAAUACAAAAUAUAAUGAAUGGUUCUACUACUAAUAAUACCGAGGCCUUUUGUGAUAAAACCUCACACCUACUGGACUUUGUAGGUGGUUAAGUUGGGGACAAUAUCGGGGUUGUUAGUAGUGGGCCGCUAGCCCGUCUCUCUGAAUUUAACAUGGUAUCAGAGCAGGUUGAUUGACUGGGCCUGAAUUGGGUCUCUACCCUUACCCAAUAUGUGAUGUUCACAUGUUGGGCUUGAGUGUUUAUUCUUACCCUUUACCUAAUAUGUGGUGCUCACAUGUUGGGCUCGAAUGAUUGACUCCGAUGUGAACUUGGCUCCACGUGUGGCCCACUAUGUAGUGGUCUCACAUGAGGAGGCGUGUUGAAGAAUAUAAGUCCCACAUUGGAAACUUGACUAAAUAAAAUACAAAAUAUAAUAAAUGGUUCUACUACUAAUAAUACCGAGACCUUUUAUGAUUAAACCCCACACCUACUGGACUUUGUAAGUGAUUAAAUUAGGGACAAUAUCUCGCACGUCUCAUACCAUGUUUAUACUUCUUGGUCCCUAAUGCGCAUUUACAUGAACACACACCUGUUUCAAUUAUCCCAUAUAUGAAACAGAGUAUUUUUAAAUAUAUAUAUAUAUAUAUAUAUAAUUUCGAGAAAUUAAAUAUUUUGUUACAUAUUUAGUUUAUAAGUUAUAUAUUUAAAUUGAUUAUAUAUAUAAUUAUCUUGGUAUGUGUUAUAUUUUCAGAAAUUUUUCUUAUUAAUUAUUAAAAAUAAUAAUACUAUAAUAAGUAUAUGUUUUGUUUUAGAUAGCCUUAUCUCGUUGUUACUUUCUGCAUAUUAAUACUUGAACAGCUAAGUUCAAUAGUCUAGUUGUCAUCUAAAUCUUUAGACAUGCAACACUUAAAACUCACAGGUGUCAAAAAAAAGACUCACAUGUGUCAUUAUACCUAGAUGACUAAGCUCUAAUUUAGCAUGAGGUGUUGGCAAUCUAGUUACAUCUAAACUUGAAGCCAAACAUUAUCAGCUGCCAUACAUUGGACCAAUUGAAGGAAAGUAGUUGCCACGUAUGUAGUACUAUAAAUAGGGACCAUUCCAUUUCAUCUUGAAGAGCAAGGGAGGCAUGGUUUACAUGAGAAAUAAGAGGGAAAGAAAGAAAGAAAAAGAGAAAAAGGACGAAGAGAGAGAGAGACUGCUGAUGAAAUUCUUGGAGGAGAAAUAGAGUGUAGUUUGUGAUUUCUUAAACUUUGAACUAGAUUUGGAAUUAAGGUAGGGGGUUUUUUGGGGCCUUUACGAAGAUUGAUUUAAUUAAAUUUCGUGAGCAUUAUAUUAUGUGUUGUACUAUAAUUUGGUUGAUAUUCUUUGUUAUUGGGUGUUUACGUGUUGUUAAUUAGCAUUAUAUUAUUUUAUUAAUAUUGACAUGUUCAUAUGUUAUUGAAAAUGAUUGGAAUUAUUGGGUUGAUAAAGAAAGUUUGGAAAAAAGGGUAAUAGGAAGGAUCUUUUGUAUAGUUGAGUCUGACCAUUGUAGGAACUAAUUUCAGGCGAGCCCGUGUGCACAGUAGAAUAGGAUAUCAGUGGUAUAAUUGUCAAUUAUGUGAUUGCAUAUCAUUUAAUUUAGUUAUAUCAAUCUACUGUGGUAAAGUCUCAUGUCUCUAUUAAGCGGUGGUUGCUUAUCCCUCUAAAAAGUUUGAUUUGCAGGAAGUAAGAAUACUAAGGAGGGAACAGUGUCCAUAAAUCAGUUCUAUAAAAACCAAUACCAUAUCGUCUGCCACAUCUAUUCAUAACCUACUCAAAUUUUGAAAAAAAUAAAAACGAUGGUGGUGAAAAUCAAAGGCUGCUAUGUUCUGAAACCCUCUACACCAACAUUGCAAGGUAGCCUAGCUCUCUCAGAAUCGGAUCAAAUUGACACCAUAAGUCAUGUUAGCAUUAUCAACUUCUACAGACCAGACCAAAACUUUGUCUCACAACCUGACGCCAUUGUCAACACUCUCAAAGACUCAUUAUGCCGCGCAUUGGUGCCAUUCCAUCCACUAGCCGGUCGUUUGCGUUGGAUUGGCGGAGGCCAUCUCGAGCUCGAUUGCAAUGGCAUGGGGGUUCAGUUCAUUGAAGCUGAGUCCGAUUCGAAACUUGAUGAUCUUGGUGUUGGCGAGCUCUUACUUAGUUAGGAUUUUGGUUCCUUAUUUUAUUAGAAUUUUGGUUACUUACCAAUUAUUAUUUAGUCCUAUUGUAAUUUAGAUAUAUUUCCUAUUUUAUUUAGGGUUAACACAUCUUUGUACUUGUAUAAAUACCUCAAUAUUGGAGAAGAAUAAUAAUAUGAGUGUAUCUUAGCAUAACUGAAUAUUUACCUUACUUUGUUUGACAUGGUAUCAGAGCCAGGUUCCUAACCUGUGAUAACCUCUGCCAAGUUGAGAGUCGUUGGCACUCCUCAUUCCUAACUCAUCAUGGGUCUUCAUCUUGUAUAGUCAUUUUCUUUUGUUCAUCCUCUCAUAUGUGUUUUCACCGCACCUAGUCUUCACAUUCUUCUUUGCUACUGUUCCAAAAUUUUUAUUUUUCAUCUUUGUAGGCCAUAUGGUCUUUCUUGAUGUCUCAGCUUCUCUAUCUUUGAAACUUCAUAACAAGUCUCUUUACUCCGUGAGCCUCGUCACCGCUAACUGAGCCAUUGCUUUCCUCCGCGAGUCUCGUCACCGCUCGCCGAGCCUUUCCUUUGACUGUUCUGCGGGUCUCUGUCUUCUUUGGCUGCUCUCUUGAGUUGCUUUUCCGCUUCUCAGUUUGAGCAUCUUAUCUUUGUCUCUGUUCAUGAUUUGCUGGGUUUCCUCCCUUACUAUUCUCCUUUUCUGAAGUUUUUUCUUUAUGGGACAGCCGUAUGCUACCACCUUCCCCUCUUGCAUUUUUUUCUGCCAUGAGACUGGCAUGUUUGAGUCUCUUUACUAUUAUUUCAAUUUCUCUUCUUUCAAAUCUCGAUCCUUUACCAGUGUCAGAUUUGAUUGGGAGAUAGAUGCAACUUCAUUUGGGUGCUGUAACUUUAUUUUUCGGUGUUGCUUUCUCAAAUCUCGACUCUUUUAUAUCGUCAGAUUUAAGGGGGAGUGACACCGCUGCUCAUCUAUUCUGCUGCAAUUUAGCUACCUAUCUGCCAUGGCUGAUUCUUCUACAUCUGAGCGUCAAUUAGCUUCUGUUUCUUAAGUGCCACUUUUCUUAUGGUUUCGAAUACCCCUUCUCUUCAGGAGGAGAUGGGGCGUGAAGAGAAGUUGUCUCUGCAAUAAUGAAAGUAUUUGUUAUUGUUAUUGUUGCUAACUACUAUGUCUUUUGCUAGUGCCAGUACCGUUGCUCAUCCUUGUUAUGUCUCUUGCUGGGGACAAUGUUAUUGCUCUUGCUUAUUAUGACUCUUGUUGGGGACAGUGUUGAUUACUGUUGAUGAUGCUUGUUAUGUCCCUGCCUUGUUGCUCUUGCUGGUGCCAGUGCCUUGUAUUGCUGUUGUUUGGUACUAGUAUUUUGCUCCUGCCUAUUAUGACUCUUGCUGGGGACAGUGUUGAUUACUGUUGAUGAUGCCUGUUAUGUCCCUGCCUUGUUACUCGUGCUGGUUUGGUACUAGUAUUGUUGCUCCUGCCUGUUAUGGUGCCAGUAUUGUUGCUCAUGCCUUUGCUGGUGUGUUUCUGUUGUGGUCGAUAUUGCCACCGUUGAUGUUGUCUUUUCUUGCUUCGCUUUCCGUUGAUGUGGUCAUUGUCGUUGUUGUUGUUGUGGCCUUGCCCUUUGCCUUUGCUUCUGCCUUACCUACUGUCGUACUCACAGGGUUUCUGUGUUCUGUCUUAUCUAUUGCCGUGCUCACAAGGUUUUUGUGUUCUGCCUUAUCUACUGCCAUACUCACAGGGUUUCGGUUUAUGUGUUUUGCCUAAUCUACUGUCGUGCUCACAGAGUUUCUAUGUUCUGCCUUAUCUACUGCCAUCCUCACAGGGUUUCUGUGUUCUACCUUACCUACUAUCGUCCUCACAGGGUUUCUGUAUUCUACUAUUUGCCCUAUUUUUUACGGUUUGCUCUUGUGUUUCUGUUGCGAACUUUGCUUUAGUUUGUCAUUUGUUUCACUCGUGGUUGACGAAAAGACCUUAUCUACAAUUAGUGCUUCUCAAGUAUGGUGUUCUGUGACUCGCUUGUCAAGUUGGGCGUGCGAAAUAUCUUUGCCCAACUUGAGGGGAAGUGUUGGCAAGCUCUUACUUAGUUAAGAUUUUGGUUCCUUAUUUUAUUAGAAUUUUGGUUACUUACCAAUUAUUAUUUAGUCAUAUUGUAAUUUAGAUAUAUUUCCUAUUUUAUUUAGGGUUAACACAUCUUUGUACUUGUAUAAAUACCUCAAUAUUGGAGAAGAAUAAUAAUAUGAGCGUAUCUUAGUAUAACUGAAUAUUUACCCUACUUUGUUUGACACUUGGUGACUUCUCUCCUUCUCUAGAAUAUGACUAUCUUAUCCCCACUGUAGACUACACCCUCCCAAUUCAUGAACUUCCUAUAUUGCUUGUAUAGUUGACUAGGUUCAAGUGUGGUGGUGUUAGUCUUAGACUAUUUCACAUGCUGUUGUUGAUGGGCAAAGUACAUUUCAUUUCAUUUCUGAGUGGGCUAGGCUUGCAAAGGGUGAGCCAAUUGGUGUAAUGCCGUUCCUGGAUCGAAAGGCCUUUCAAGCUCGAACACUCCCAGCUGGAAAUACUCUAGGGCUUGACCACUCAGAGUUAGACCAUCCACCCCUUUUGCUCGGCCAAUCGGAUAAUAUCGAUCGAGGAGAGGAAGAAGAAGACCACUGUGGCCAUGUUGAAGCUAACCAAGCAACAAAUUGAGAAACUUAAGCGAAUGGCAAACGAGGGGAAUGAUUACAAGAAUUCUGGCACUAAGCCGGCUUACACACGGUAUAAGACCGUGGCAGGGCACAUAUGGAGAUGUGCGUCUAAGGCUAGAGUUCACAGAAAUGAACAACCUACGGCAAUGGGAGUUUGCGUUGAUUUGAGGAGUCGUAUGCAACCCCCAUUGCCCCAAGGAUACUUUGGAAAUGCAACAUUUUAUGGGGUUGCUAGAAGUCUUGCUGGUGACUUGGUGUCCAAACCAUUAGGGUACGCAUCGAGUAGAAUAACGGAGGCAAUCGAGAAGGUGUCGAAUUAUUACGUGCUGUCCGCCAUUGAUCACUUCAGGAACCAACCGAACUUGACUAGGUUUCAAGCCCUUCAUGCUCUAGGGAUUGCCGAAGGGGAUUUGUAUGGAAACCCUAAUCUUGAGGUUGUGACUUGGUCGACACCGCCUAUGUAUGGGCUUGACUUUGGAUGGGAAAAGGAAAUGUAUAUGGGUUCAGGAACAUAUGAUUUUGAUGGGGAAUCCUUCCUCCUUCCAAGUCCUGAAGGAGAUGGUUCUAUGGUUCUGACUUUGUGUUUACAAGUGGCCCAUAUGGACGCUUUCAAAAAGCACUUCUAUGAAGAUAUUAUACUGCAUAAGUUAUAUAGCAAGCUAUAAGCUGAGAAAUACAGAGCAGAUAUAUGGAAAAUAUAUAUAUAAAAUAUCAGCUUAUUAAUUGGUCUUCAGUGAGAAACAUUUUCAAAAAUAAAGUAAUUUGUCAAGUAUAUGUUAAGUUAACGUAGCUAUGGACGAUUUAACGUAGCUAUGGACGAUUGAUUUCUCCAGCCAAGUAAAACAGAUGGUUGAGUUUCUUUCUUUAUAAUUAUGUAUGAAUAAUGCAAUGCAUGGCAGUAGGUGAAUCUUACUACUGUGAAAGAUGUAAUUUGCAUUGUAAUUCAAAUAAUUUUAGUAAAUUCACAUCCUGGUUGGUGUUAUUUUACUAGCCUCUUGGCAAAAGCUCUGCCAAUUGGCUUAUUUUUUUUUUUCAAAGAUCAUUAAAAUGUUUAUUAAAAUUAAUAUAUAUUAAUUUUUUUUUGAAUUUUUUAUGUGUUUUUAAUAGGAUCCAGAUUCUGAUUUUGUUUUUUAUUUUAAUUUUUUUAAUACACAAAAGUAUAAAUUUACUAUAUUAUACUUAUUUAUUAUAUUUUCAAUUCUUAAUAUUAUAAUUAAUUAUGAGUAUUUUAUGGCAUUUUGAAUGUUUCAUCAUUCAUUAUCUAUAUCUUUUUGAGAAAAGAUGGUAUUUCAUUAAAUCCAAAAGAACAUUACAUAACCACAAGAUGUGGUGUUGUUGGCAAACUGCCACCUUAACUGCCACCUUCAACUGACGAGCUACCUGAUACUUCAAUGACAGAAAUUCAAAACCCGUUAAAAACACUUUGUGGCCAGAAGCAAAGUGAACCUCGAACGGGGAUUAUCCCACCCUUCGAAUUUUUGAAUGGGUUUCAUGUUCCCCCAAUAGGUCUGGCGGGGGGCUUGAGUGGGUUUGGUGGUAUGAUACGGUAACUUGUGAUAUUGUUGCUUUAUCCAAAAAUUUGAUUGAUUGUUGGCUGCAGACUCCUCUUAAUGGCACUCGUGUCCGUGCCUCUUGGAUUUACGGAAAUCCAUACAGAGACAAGAAAGAAGAGUUUUGGCAUGGUCUGGAAGGGCAAGCUACUGAUGCUCCUUGGUUCUGCGGCGGAGACUUAAACGAAAUCAUGUGGGGGCUUAGAGUUGUCUCGCUUGAGGCCCAAAGAAAAUUAAUCAGGUAACGUUUUCAGAGAAUAUUAUCAGAGAAUAAAAACAAGAAAACGAAUUUGCAUUUUCAGAAAAUGAAAAUACGUCUGGUAGAUUAAUUAUAAAACAUUUUUAGAAAACAAAAACAAUGAAAAUGUGUCUAGUAGUACACUUUGAAAUAAUAAUAUGUGAGUUAUUUUUACGAACAAGUUUCCCAUGAGAAUGAAAACCUCAACAAAUUUACAGAGAUGCUUUGAUCUCUCAGAAUUGUUAGAAUAGCUCUUGGAUGAUUCAUAAUCAAGCAGAAUAGGUACUGUAGUGCAGCUCCUGGUCAGCAAUCAUCAAUCCAGCCACUUCCAACCCCGUCCAGACUGAAGAGAUCUUAAUUAUGCCCAUCCAAGAAGCCUCUACAUGGCUAAAAUAGAUUAAAACUCUGCCAAUCUCAAUAUUGCUGUCAAUUUUCAGCUGAACCUCAUCAGUUAAAGGUGCUGAUGUUUGAAUCCAGCACAGAUACAUCCAGUCCAGACUGAGUCACAGGCAACAAUCCAAGCAGAAAUCGAAGCCCAAUGUUCUGUUGUCCUUUUUAGACGUGGCAGUUCCCUUUUGUUUUAAAUUGUGUAAUUGGCAAUUCUCUUUAAAACAAUUUGAUUUAUUUUCAAUAUUCAUUUUGGCCAGAACCACUAGAUUUUACUAUGAGAAAUUGUGAAGUCCUCACCAGUCUGAGGCAAGAAAAGAAUUUACUUGGGAGAUAUUCCUCACCCAAAUUCACAAUCACUUGUUUAAAGUCAGUAACUUGGGACUCAAGUUAUCUAUUUUUCAUAAGUCUGUUAGGGUUUUAAUUGCUAACAGUGACACGCUCGCACACCAAAGAAAGUUGACUUGUUGACCACAAAUUAUUUUUAAGCAAAUGGAGAAAUUUACCCUAUCAUCAUAGGAACUAAAUCAAAACGGGUGAACAAUUUGUUCUAAAUCAAUAUCUUUCAUUUGUAGGAAAAAUAUGAGCAUACAUUCAUUGGUUAUCAAUUUUAAUUUCGCAAUUGUUAUAAUUAAGUUUUAAGAUCCUGCUUUGUUAUAGUUUGUGUUUUGGACUCUGACUUUCAGGGUUACGCCAUGAUAAGGGAACAAUUGCUUAGUUUGUAAGUUAUGGUCCACGGACUAUGACCUUGUGAAAUUCCUUAUUCAUUUAACUUCUUGGCCCUUUUUUAGUUCGCGAAAAAAGAUUUGAUGAGAAAUUUUUCUAUGUCUGUUUCAAGGAAUGAAAUUAGAAGAUUUUUUUUCCCAUGUUUGAUAAUGCUAGGAAAGUAGCCAAGAAAUACCACUUUUAUUUCAUUUCCCAUAUUUAGUUUGCAUAGGAAUGUAAAACACACUUUGUCUAAUUUUCCAAUUAUAUCCAUAUAAUUUCACAAGUGUCAAUUUGUGACUAAGCUAUAUUAGUAGGUAAGGAGGAGUUCCUCCUUAUGGACAAGGAGGGAAGCAUUAUCUUUUUCGAUGUGCCAGAUAACCAUUUUCGAUGCCUAGACUUACCAAAUAUGGAAAAAUAAUUGAUUUUCCAUCCCCGAUCCUGAACCUCAUUUCUCGUGAACCAAACACCACUUUAGAAAUAUGAAUUAAAGUUGUCUAUCACGCUGUGGAUGAUCAAGCUAUUAUAUAUGUUAUGGACUUCAUAAUGGGUGGAACUCUAUAAGAUAUUUUCAUCUAUAAAAGGCUGGGUUCAUGCUCUCACAUAAUGCUGCUCAUUAAGUUUAGCUCCAUUAAGAAAUGUAGAGGGUAAAAGAUGCAUAUGUUAGUUGAAUCGGUCUAGUUGAAUCCGUGUACGUGAGUUUCCUCCUCUCCUUCUAAACUUUGGGGAAAGAAAAAAAAAAAGCCAUUCCAUUUUCCUUGAUUCAUAGGUACUAUUAUUGUUCGUUACGAAUACAUAGGUAUAAUAUCUUAGGGAGCUGGUCAGCAGUAUAAACAUUGUACAAAUAACAGUAUUGUUGAAAAAUACAAGACCUUUACUUAGGAAGUGGGCUUUUGAACACUCCCCGCGCAGCCCAUUAGAAAAUCACAAUGAAAAAUUAUAGUGUGUGUCCAUUUCUAGCCGCCAUUCCCCCUUCUUGAGUUCCCUCUUUCCCCUUCUUCUUCUUCUUCUUCUUCUUCUUCGGUUCUCUCACAGUGAAAUAGUCACUCCUACAGUCCCACUGUUCCAAGGAGGCUUCUUCCAAGCAGAUUUAAAAAAAAAGGAAAAAGCUUUUUCCUCUUUCUUCUUUCACAGUAAUUCAUUCGGCCAUGGACUUGGAAUCGAAUUACGAAAUCGCCCCCACGGCCGAGUUCAUUCAGAGCAACAAGUUCACCAGAGUCGCUUUACAGGUACGAGUUCUUCAAUCUUCCUGUUGCGUCUUGUUUUCCUCUCAAUUUUAUUUUUCUUUUGUUUGCUUUUUUUUUUCCCCGGGAAACCAAACAUCGAAUUGAAUUGUAUUGAAUUGAAUGUCGUCUCAGUUCCCUGAUGAACUUCUGAAGGACGCGGUGAGAGUUGUGAGUGCGCUAAGGGCCAAGCUUCGAACACUGAGGGAAUCCAACGCCGAGCAAAACGACGAUGCCCCGGAAGUGGGCUUGUUCGUGAUGGCGGACACGGCCUACGGUAGUUGCUGUGUGGACGAGGUGGGAGCAUCGCACGUGGAUGCUGAUGCUGUUGUUCAUUACGGCCACACGUGCCUCAGCCCGUGAGUGCUCUGUACUGGAAGUAAUUUAUGGUUGAAGUCUGGUUUGAGUUUUAUUGUGUAUGUUGUUGAAGGCUCAUUCUCUUAGUUGGGUUUUGUUGGCAGGACUACGACGCUUCCAGCGUUCUUUGUUUUUGGGAAGACUUCAAUUAGUGUGCCUGAUUGUGUGAAGAAUCUAUCGCAUUAUGCUUUGCCAAAUGGGAGGCGGGUUUUGGUAUGAUCUUUGUUCACUUUUCACUUCUAGACUCAUUAGGAUUUGAUUAAAUGGGCAGUUUUUAAAUGUUUUGGCUGAUACUGAAUCAUCAUUCUGGUUAGAUCAUCAAGUGCUAGAAAUCAUAGCUGUAAUCAAAGAAAGAAGAGAUUAUGGAUAUGGAAGUUAAAACAAUAGAUGAUAUGCAACUUAAAUGAUAUUCUUACUUGAUUUGAAGAUCAAUUAUUCAGAGGAGUAGGAUAUUGAGGAUGAAUUUGUAGCCCAUAAUUUCUUCUUUUCUUUUGUUGAAUUUAAAUUUGGUAAAUUUUUUAUUUUUAUUUUUAUUUCAAAGGAGGGAAAAGAAAAGAACGGAGAUGAAAACAGAUAAAUUCUAGUUGUAUCCCAUUGCAUGAGUAAUGAGUUAAUUUUUGGCUAAAGGUGACAAAAUGGUAUUAAACUUGUAGCCCUUAUACCCAUCAGCUUACCACUUGAUCGAGUCAGUGUUCAGCGUUGUUCAUUCAGCAUGAGAGAAAGAUUGUCUCCUGCAGCAACCUCAUCGUCCUUCUACCCAUCAAUUUUUUCUUUUUCUCUCAAUCUUCUUUCUCCUUUAUACUCUGCAUUAUUCUACCCAUCAUUCAGUUAUUAAAUAUUGAAAUGUAGAUUAUUGUCUAUGCACAUAAUUUUCUAUAAGAGACCAAGUACAUUUUAUUUUUUGGUUAGUUUACCAAAUCUGACUUUCUAUCCAUCUGUAGGUCCUUUUUGGUCUGGAUUAUGCACAUUCAAUACAGAAUAUCAGAGAAAAAUUUGCAGAAGUAUGCGGGGCUGAAUCCAAACCAGAAGUUCAAUAUGCUAAUGUUAUUUGCUCAGUUAUGAAUCCAUCAAAAGGUUGUAAAGUCUCAAAUGAGGUCCAGGGAACAUCUGGCAGCCUCACUGAUAAUAAUAGUUUUGGGACAGUAUCAGCUGAUACGUAUAGCAUUGGAGGCUUGGUCUGGAAAUUGCCUGAGGGACACAAGAUGGACGAUUACUUACUUUUCUGGAUUGGUUCUAAUAACUCUGCCUUUGCAAAUAUUGUUUUGACAUAUAAUGGCUGUGAAAUAGGUACAUAAACUACUUUCCUUUGUUUGUUCUGGUCUUGAGGUUGCAGCUUUCUUUUGUUUUUCUCUUGUGGAUUCCUUAUCCACUUGCUUGUUUCUUUGAAUUUAUAAAGUUUCUAUUGAAAAAAAAGUGUGUAAACCACUACUUUCUUUUGUUAUACAUUUUUUUUGAGUAUGUCUACAUGCAUGUGCGAAUGCAUCUCAUAUUCUGUUUUCUUGUGUCCUCAAACAAUUUUUUUUUUUUUUGAUGAGUUGUGCUGUUUCAGAUGCAUCAUAUAGUCCCGUACAUCAUAUAUCAUACAUGUGGUGGUUCUUGGACUUUCGUUUUUCUUUUUUCUAUAUAUUGGUGGAUUUCAUUUUUGCACAAAUGAAGAGGGAUAUUUUCUCUAUACAUUUAUUACGAUGGAUGCAUCAUAUCUGUAGUGCACACACAUUUGAUAUUUUCCAUUUAGGCAAAUAGCUGUUUGCGUUCCCCUUUCUCCUUUUCUGACUGAGGCAAUCAAAGUGUCUAGGACUCUAGCCACUUAUGAACACUGUCUUCGAAAAGUAAAUUCUGAAUACACACACACACACACACACACACACACACACACACAUAUAUAUAUACAGAUUAUCUUCUAUGCGGACGUCUGGACGUUAUUACCGUGCAGACGCCAUAUAUUUUUUAUUACCCCUCCCUGCUUUCCUCCUUGUUUACAAUGGAGUCCGAGCGGUAAUAACGUGCCGACGUCCGGAUGAGAGAAGAAUUUCAGUUUUCUCAUCUUAUUAUAUGCUGCCAAAUCAAGCCACUACACUGCUAUAUAAAAAUAUCCAGUCGGUACUGUAGAAGUACGCAUCUUCACAUCACUUUUUACAAUGAAACACACCUGCAAACAUUGGAGUCCGCAUGCUAAACAAUCUGGUCGUCCGGAUAAGAGAAAAAUCCUAUAUUAUAUGUAUCCCAAAGUAACCAAUUCCCCACAAGUCCUGUUCGCAGAGUAGGAUGAAGUCUUUUUACUUGGUAAAUGAACUCAGGGCACUUACGGUUCUCCCUUAGUUUGUCCAAUAUUUGGCAGAAGGAACUCAAGGAACAAUAUGAAAAUAUGAUAAUUGGUCCUGUCAUUUUUGUUUUCUUGGUUACGAAUAGAAACUUGAUUUAUUGUGGGAAAGAAGAUAAGGAGCCAGAUUAAGAUUUUCAAGUUUAAAAAGUUAAUUUUCUUAAAGCACCUAGUAUGUGGAAAUUGAUAUGCUAUUGAUUAUUCAAUUUUUCAUACUCAAUCUUGUUUAUAAUUUUUGGUGGUUUUGGUUUUAGUCAGAUAUGAUGCCUCGGAAUGCAGUAUGGUGACCGACUUAUCUCAACAAAGAAAGAUUCUUAAGCGCAGGUAUUAUCUACAAAAUCUUUGUACUGUUCCCUGUUUCCACUCAUCUUUGCUCUUACAAGCACAAUAAUUGUGACAUGAUAGGCCGUGUGUUCCUUCCACCAUGUGUUUUAUUCUUGUUCCCUGUUUCCACUAAUCUUUGCUCUUACAAGCACAAUAAUUGUGACAUGAUAGACCGUGUGUUCCUUCCACCAUGUGUUUUAUUGUUGUCAUGCUCUUCUUUCAUAUGAUUUAUUGUGUGAGCAAUCUCUCAUCCAGAUAUUACCUAAUGGAGAAAGCAAAGGAUGCUAACAUUGUUGGGAUCUUAGUAGGAACCCUUGGUGUAGGUGAGUUCUUGUGUGGGAUCCUCUAGUCUUUAUUUUUUAUUAAUCCACUGUGUUGAAAUUGAGCAAUCAGGUUGAAUAGUUCUUGUAAUGCACAGCUUGCUAUUGGAGAUCAUUGAUUGUUUUUUUUUUUUUUUUUUUUCACUUGAAAUUAGUUUUUCAAUAUUGAACCAUGUGUUGGUUAAUUUCACACUAUACCCAUAGUGUUUCUGUAUGUGCCGGUAUUUUGUGUUUUUUUUUUCCUUUUCCAUCUCAAUUCUAAUCUAGUAAUUCAUUCUGUAAUUAAUCAUGAUAAUCAUGAAAUGUUUUGUUUUGUUUUGUUUUGUUUUUUUGCAUUUCAGUAUGGGUACAUCUUAUUAUGUACCAUUCAAGGACUUUAAAUUACUCUAUCUUAAAUUUCAAUUAUGUUGGGAUCCUUUCAGAAAAAGAAAAAACGAAAUUCAAUUAAGGGCACAUUCUUUUACUGAUGCAUAACCGAGAGCCUAGAAAAUUAAUUAACUUUUUUGGCAAUUAUGAUGCAGCUGGUUACCUGAAUAUGAUUCAUCAGAUGAAAGUGCUGAUUACAGGAGCAGGGAAAAAAGUCUAUACUCUAGUUAUGGGAAGACCAAACCCUGCAAAACUUGCCAACUUUCCUGAGGUCUGAUACAUGCAAGUAGAUGCGUUCAUAUGGAAUUUAGAAUAUUUGAAGUUCUAAUAAGUUAAUUGUAGAUUUUUAUUCGUGGCAGUGUGAUAUUUUCAUUUAUGUCUCUUGUGCCCAAACUGCUCUUCUGGAUAGCAAAGAAUAUUUAGCUCCAGUAAUUACACCUUUCGAAGCCAUGCUAGCUUUCAACAGGUACCACAUUAAAUAAAGUCAUACUUUAUCGUACAUUCAGUGCCAUGAACUUAGGUUCCUUGUAUAUAGAAUGGUUCCAUAUUUGCUCAUUGUCUUAUGAACUACUUGCUACUUGAUAUCCCUCACAUGAGAUGAUCUGUUAUUACAUAUUCCUAAGUUGUGGAUUCAAAUUAGUAUACCUUAAAUGCUCCUAAGAUGUGCAUUGACAAGAUGAAUUAAUUAGCUAGUUAUCAUUCCUCGUUUAUCCCUGACCACUGAAAGUUCAAAUUCUCACCGCAGAGGAUGUCAGUGGACUGGAGAAUAUGUAAUGGAAUUCCGCGAUUUGAUUAAUUCUUCUCCAGUGGAAUCAAGGAACUUUUCUGAAGAAGCACGAUUUUCCUUCUUGCAAGGUGGUUAUGUAGAAGAUUUUGAUCCGCAAGGUAGUUCUCUUAUUUUUCUAAUUUAUACAAUUGUUAUGGCAUCAUUGAGUGAAAAAAUAGAAGACUUUCAACAUAUAAAGUGACUCGUGUGUCUCUGAGAAAUGAAGGAUACUGUAUGCACCUUCUCCCUCACCCCUUCCCUUUUUAAAAGACAUUUGGAUGAUUAGCUUAAUUUAUUUUUCUUACCUUAGAUUGAUUGUUAGAGCAAAGAAAUCUAUGCUUUAAGUCCAUAUUUGUCUUAAGCUUCUAUCCUCAUUAGAAGUAUGGAUCAAAUAUUGCACUAUCCACUGGCUUUUUCGUUGUGGUCUCGGUCAAUUAAGGACAGGUUUAUGCUGGUCCAUCACAGUGCCAUAUAAUGUGCUAUUAUCUGAGAAGUUGAACUUUUUUGGUGGAAAUAAAAGGGUUUGUAGUUGAGCUGAGUAGUGCUAUGAUGGAAAUUUUCUGGGUUCUAUCGGUUGAAAAGAAUAGUAGCAUAUUUGGGGGCGAGGAGGUGAAUGUUUAUGGGAUAGGAUGCGUUUCUGGGCUUCUUUGUGGGCAUCUGUAGAUUCGGAGUUUAAGGAGCUAUAUUUUCCUGCUAUCUAGUCUGAUUGGAAAGCGUCUGUUUUGCAGUCCUAUGAAAUUUCUGUUUUGUCUUUAUGUUUUCCUUUAGGAUUGAGGUCAUGAUGCAGAGUUUAUGUGUAGUUUUCUUUCAGAAAUGGACUCCUUGUUCACUUAUGUUGUACUGUUAUAAUUUUUUUUAAUAAGAGCUAUGUUUCUUAUAAAAAAAUAAAAAAGUGAAGGGCAAAACAAAGUUUAAUUGGGAUUUAUUGUUCGAGACCCACAUGUAAAUAAUUACAUUGGAGAACUGUUUAUCAUUUAGAUAUUGUGAGACUAAAACUACGUUUUACCAAAAAGAUUGUUAUAAGGGUAGACAUUUCAAACUUGGAAGUUCUGAAAUUGUUGUAUAACCAGGGAAUGGUACUGAGGAAGAUAAGGAAGGAGCUCUUGCUUUAGCAAAUGCGACAGAGAAGGUUCUGCAAUUGCGUGAUAACCCGAAUUCUAUAGUGAAAGGAACAGCUAAAUCUGGUGCAGAGUUUUUAGCCACUCGAUCCUAUCAAGGUCUAGAUAUACAUUACGACGGUUCCUUGCCAGAACCAUAUUUUAUCGGGAGAAGUGGGAGGGCAGCAGGGUAUGAAGAUGAGAAGAACGGGCAUGAGAAAUCAUGAUCAAAUUAGAAAAACGUGGAAAGAGUGGUUAUGAUGAAGACGUGCUUGAGGAUGUGCCCUUAAGGAGAAGUAGAUGUGUGGAAGGCAGCAGGUCUAGGCAGUCAGCCGAGAGGGGACAGGUAAAUGAAAGAGCAUACUCUUGAUGUCUGCCUUGCAGCAUGGAGCGCAGCUAUCUGCCAAUGAUGAGAUUCUGUAAGGGGAGAAACAAAAGGGGAUUCUAUUAGAGGCAUGCCUUUUUGUCUCAUCUAUUUUUGUAGACAUUUUUGGGUUUUUUGUUCUGUUUUCUAUUGUGGUACGUAAUUUAAUGAAAUAGUGACAUGUAAUGAGCAACCAAGGUCCUGUUUGAUGGCUUUGUUUCAUAUUUUUUGGGUACUUUUCAUGAAAGAUAUAGAAGAAAAAUGAGAAGAUAGCGAGAAGAGAUACAAUUUCAUGUGUGGGAAGAAAAAACUGUAUUCAGGUAGACUCAUAAAAUAAAAACUAAGAACAGUAAUAAAUAGAUUACUUUUUCUGUUUGGUUCAUGAGAAAGAAGGUUUGGGACUGGGAAAUUAAUUGCUUUGCACAAAGAAAGAUAGGGGAAAGUGAAGCCUUUCUCUUCCCUUGGGUUUUGUUUUUCUCCUCAUGAGAAAGUUUGGGAAAAUGAGUUAAUAUUAAAUACAUAUUUUUAUGACCAUAUUGUCUCUACUAACAAUUUAAAAUUACAAUAUAACAUGAUUGCAUUAUUUUUUUCAUUUGAUUUCAUAUGGGUAUAAUUGAAAAAUUAAACAAACUUUGUUUUAUAUUCCUACAAAUAUGUGAGAAAAUAAAAUGGUAUUUCUUGAUUACUUUAUCAGGAUUACCAAAUAUGAGAGAUGAAUCUCUAUUUCCAUCUUUUGAAAAAUAACGUGGAAAAUAAUUUCUCAUUAAAUUUGUUAAAUGAACCAAAUGAGAGGGUAGGUUUUAGAUUUACGACUUUUCUCAUUUCUUCCUUCCAUUUCUUAUCUCUCAUCUGCUUUGUCUUCUAUCCUCAAAAGUCCAGUCAAUGGAUGGGCCCCUGAGUGGUUUGUAUUUGUACGAUGGACGACUUUAAUAAAAAUCAAUAAAAGUUUGAAUUGAACACACAUUCAUUCCUGGACGGCAUGACUUUAUCUUUUAUUUAUUUAAAGAACUUGGGACAGCUUAUGUAGGUAAAGUAAUAAUAGCUUGAUUAAUUAUCACCGAAACCAAUUUGCACGUCCCACAUGCAUGUCGAGGUCAACUCAAGUCAUACGCGAUUGCCGCUAAAUGCAAGUCGGAAAAUGAAUUUCUAGGGAAGUUAUUAUGUGCAUUAAAAACUCUAUGUUUCUUUAUAAAUAUCCAACAACAAAUCUUAACCUUCAUUCUCAUUCUUCACUAAGCGCUUCACCAAAAUGGCUUUCUACAAUACAAUAAAACACCUUGUAAGCCUCAUUGCCCUAUUCUAUGUAGCUGAAGCAGUGCUAAAAAAUUUGACAGCACAAAGUUGUGGCUGUGCCCCAGAGAUAUGUUGUAGCCAGUAUGGCGACUGCGGCAGCGGAGAUGGUUACUGGGGCCAGGGUUAUAAAGAAGGCCCUUGUACUAGCAGCGGUGGCAGCACAACUACCACACCAAGGAGCAAUGGUAGUGGUGGUUCGUCGGUGGCUGAUAUUGUAACCCCAGAAUUCUUCAACAGGAUCAUUAACCAAGUGUUUAGGCCUAGUUUUUACGAAUCCAAAAUUAAAGCUAAUUGGUCCAAGUACAUGAUUUGGGCUUUAAUUGUACAAGUAUAAGUCAAAUACUUAUAAUUUUUUUUAUUUAAUAAGAGCUAUGUUUCUUAUAAAAAGAAAAAGUGAAGGGUAAAACAAAGUUUAAUUGGGAUUUAUUGUUCGAGACACACAUGUAAAUAAUUACAUUGGUGAACUGUUUAGGUUUAUUCUAAUGCUUUUUCUCUUCUUCAUUUGCACGUAUUGUUUAAAUUUGAAUUCAUUUGGAUAUUGUGAGACUAAAGCUACUUCGUUUUGCCAAAAAGAUUGUUAUAAUGGUAGACAUUUCAAACUUGGAAGUUCUGAAAUUGUUGCAAAACCAGGGAAUGGUACUGAGGAAGAUAAGGAAGGAGCUCUUGCUUUAGCAAAUGCAACAGAGAUGGCUCUGCAAUUUCAUGACAACCCUAAUUCUACAGUGAAAGGAACAGCUAAAUCUAUUGCAGUAUUUUUAGCCACUCGAUCCUAUCAAUGUCUAGAUAUACAUUAUGAAGGUUCCUUGCCAGAACCAUAUUUUAUAGGGAGAAGUAGGAGGGCAGCAGGGUAUGAAGAUGAGAAGAACGGGCAUGAGAAAUCAUGAUCAAAUUAGAAAAACGUGGAAAGAGUUGUUAAAAUGAAGACGUGUUGGAGGAUGUGCCAUUGAGAAGAAGUAGAUGCGUGGAAGGCAACAGGUCUAGGCGACCGCUCGUGAGGGGACAAGUAAACGAAAGAGCAUACUCUUGAUGUCUCCCUUGCAGCAUGGAGUGCAUCUAUAUGAAACCGAGAAUAUGUAAGAGCAUUUCCAGCAGGGCUGGAAAACUCGGGCUGGGGGGGGUUGGGGUUUGGGGCAAAAAACGAAGUCCAGCAACAAAAGUCCAGCCCGGGCGAGAGUGGGGGCCACCAAAACGGGCAGGCCCGAAGGCGAAAUCGGCCCGAGCUCGGGCCCGAAGUCUGGGACAAAAUAGCUGACGCCAGCAUGGCGUCAGCCCUGAAAUUUUGAAUUUUUUUUUACCGUUGGCGCGUGCAUUGCACGCGCCACGCGCCAACGUUAAAAAAAAUUUCAAAUCAGCGCUACAGUGCCGCCAACGGCUCUUUGACACGUGGCGGCCUCUGGUCGCUCCGAUUGGAAUUUUUUCUUCAAUCCAACGGCAGCCAAUUUUUCUGCCAAAAAAAAUUGAAAAAAAAUCGAAUUUUUUUUAAAAAAAUCGAAUUUUUUUUAAAAAAAUACACAAAAAUUACAGAAUUUUUUGUGUAUAAAUACCAACCAAUACUCUUCACUUUUAACACCAACUCCUCAUAUAUUUUCUUCUCCUUCUACUAUUGUUCACUUUCUCCUCAAAUUUUAUUCACUUUCUAUUUAAUAUUUUUUCACUUUGAAGUUGUAAUUUUUUUCUAGCAUAUUAUGGGUUCUUCUAAUGAAAAUGGAGGGGCAUGGAGCAUGAUGGAAGAUGUUAGCUUGUGUGAGGCUUGGGUCCAAGUUAGUCAUUGUCCCGUAACGGGCAAUGAGAUUAAAUUUUCUCAUAUGUGGAAAAAAAUUCAUCAAGCAUUUUGUGAAAGGGCAAUUGGUUCUACACGUACAGAAAUGACAUUAUCUCGUAGGUGGAAAGUUCUUAAUAAAGAGUUGGGGAAAUGGAGAAAUGCCUUAGCAAAAGCGAUUGACAACCAUCGAAGCGGAGAAAAUCUUAGCAGUGAGGUAAAUUAUUUGUCAUUUUUCUUCUAUUAAUUUCUAUGUCAUAUUAAUUUUUAUUUAAAUGUUUCUUGCAAUUUAUAUAUUUUGUUAAUAUGUCUCUAGUUUUUUUUUAAUACAUGUUGUAUUUUUUUAUUAUUUCUUUAAUUUCCAUUAGUUUUUUUUUACAUGUUGCAUUGCCAAUAUUUUAAAAAUUCUCUUGCAUUUCCAUUUCAUUUUUUUUAUAGAUUAUACAAGCACAAAUGUGGUUUGGUGCUACUGGCCAAGGGAAAAAAAGUUUCAACCAUACCCAUUGUUGGGAGGUGGUGAAGACUUGUAAGAGAUUCCAAAUUAUUCCAACCGGUCCGACGGUAGUCUUGAACGAGACUCCACUUCGUGAGACGCCGGCAUCGGAUUCACCUAUGGAUUCCCCGAUGAAUCUAGACUCACCCAUUGAAAAUGAACCAAGGCCUAUUGGGAGGAAGGCGGCGAAGGCGAAGAGAGGGAGUAAUUCUAGCAAGAAUGCAUCUCAAUUUUUGGAGGAACUUUCAAAGCACCAAGCCAUGAGAAUUGAAAUGGACUUGAAACAACAAGAGCACGAUAUGGCUAUUCAAGUAGAAUAUGCAAAAGAAAGGGAGUAUGUACGCAAAGAAAGGGAGUAUGUACGCGAACAAAACAUUGAAAAACAAGAUCGGGAAACCAUGGCCAUGGAUACAAGCCAUAUGUCCCCUGAAACAAAACAAUAUUGGAAGCUAGAACGAAGGGAUGUUAUGAGACGAAGACUUUUUCGUGACGAUGGACCUAGCAACACGGAUUGGUUAAAUGAUGGAAAACAUUAAAAUAGUUUGUUUACCUUUCAUGUCUUAGUUUACUUGCCUUUGAUUUCAUUGUAUUUUUUGUUUUCUUUAAUUCGUGUACCUUUGAUUUCAUUGUAUUUUUUGUUUUCUUUAAUUCAUGUACCUUUCAUUUCAUUGUAUUUUUUGUUUUGUUUAAUUCAUGUAUUUUAUUUUAUUAUUAGUUGUAUUGCUUUUCUUUUAGUCAAUAAAGAAAAUAUUCAACAAAAAUCCUUUUUAUUCAAAACAUUCCAUACAUAAAAAACAAACCACAACCAAAGCAUAAAAAAUAAACAACCCACAACCAAAGCAUAAAACAUAAACAACCCACAACCAAACCAUAAAAAAUAAACAACCCACAACCAAAGCAUAAAACAUAAACAACCCACUCACAACAAAAAAUAAACAACAUACAACAUAAACAUAAUAAUGUUGUAAAUAAUAUUGGUGAAGCCCACAUAAAGAAGAAAUGAUGGUGUUAGAAGUGGGAUGAUUAGUCAAAAGAUGAAAUUAUAAUGUUGGGGAGAAAUCAUUAUGUCUCCAUUAGAAGCCUUUUACUUUGCCUAUAAAUAGGCUUGCUCAUUCACUUGUAAUACACACCAAAGAGAAGAGAAGAAAGAGUGAGGAAAGAAAGAACGGAAGAGAGAAAGAGAAAGAGUGGGAGUUAGAGAGAAGAGAAAGAGUGGAGUCUAUCUGAGGAGAAAUUAUGUCAGUGUAAACACUACAAAGAGAAAUAUAAUCCCACUCCCAAUAUUGCAGUGGUACUUCUCAUCAACUGAUUAUUCUAGUUUUAUAACAAAUAAAAUAAAAACAACUUCUUCACUUCACUUUAUUCACCUUCAUUUCCUUCAUUGCCUUUCACCACCCAUAAAUGCUCCAUCAAGUCAACUUGACGGUGUUCAUGAAUAUACGACUAUUGCAUCUCCGUGUAGCGAUCAAUCAUACGAGGCAUGAAACUACCGUCUCUAACCAACGGUUCAUGCUGCACUGCUUCUCCAUUUGGCCCCACUGGUUUUUCAUAAAUUCGUGUUAGGGCCGUGUCCAUGGGAUUUGGUUCAUACACGUCAUCAGCAUCGUAACCAUAUUCAUCUUCCACAAUCAUGUUAUGGAGGAUGAUACAAGUCAUCAUUAUACUCCUAAGCACCUCCUCGUCAAAUAGACGUGCCGCGCCCCUGAUAAUAGCCCACCGAGCUUGAAGGAUACCGAAGCACCUCUCAACAUCUUUUCUGUACCCCUCUUGAUAGCGAGCAAAAAAAUUUUCCUUAUGGGAUCGGGGAUGUGGAAUUGUUUUCACAAAUGUUGUCCACCUCGGGUAUAUGCCAUCAGCUAGAUAAUACCCGGUCUGGUAGAUGGUAUUGUUAAUUUCAUAUGUGAUAUUUUGGGCUUCACCUCUCAAAACAUCAUUGAACACCGGGGAUUGACCUAGGACAUUCAAAUCGUUUUGAGAUCCGGCAACUCCGAAGAAGGCGUGCCAAACUCAUGUAUCAAAACCAGCAACUGCUUCGAGGAUGAUACUUUUCUGCCCUUUUCUAUUUCCGUAGUCCCCUUGCCAAGCAGUUGGACAAUUUUUCCACUGCCAGUGCAUGCAGUCAAUGCUACCAAUCAUGCCAGGGAAUCCUCGAGACUCAGCUUUUUGGAGAAGCCUUUGCAGGUCCCUAGGCGUAGGUCUGCGGAGGUAGUCUCUGGUGUACAGAGUUUCCACUGCAUCACAAAAUCGCACCAAGCUCUCCAAAAUAGUGGACUUCCCCAUCCGAGCAAUCUCAUCCACCUGAUCAGCAGAUGACCCAUACGCCAACAUUCGUAUCACAGCUGUGAACUUCUGCUCUGGAAGAAGUCCCAAAUUUCCAGCACAAUUUCUCUUUUGAACAAAAUAUUCAUCAUAAUUGCAAAUAUCAUGCAUGAUUUUAUUGAACAAAUGGGGUUGCAUUCUAUAUCUCCCUCGAAAAUGAACAUCAAAGUACAGAGAUUGUGGGAUAAAAUAAUCUUCCAUAAGAUUCUUACCCCGGGAAUGUCUAUGUCCGUCCACAUUUGGGCGACGGCCUUCUCGUGAACCACGGCGAGCCUGCUUUUCUUCCUCCAGCAAAGCAACUGCUAUGCCAAGUUGCUCAUCUAGUUCUCUCUGCGCCCUUUUGCUUGCAGCUCGUCUACGCAUUCUUUCUCUAGUUUCUCGCUCUUGCCUCUCCAAAACCUCUUCCAUGUCUGCCAUUGAGAAUGGAGAAUGAAAUCUAAAAUUUGAGAAAUGGAAAUGUAGAGAAGAACUGGUGUGGGAGGUAUGAGCUGAACCUCUGAUUUUAUAGAAAAAUGUACACGGAUAGAUAUGACAUGCGUCGCAAUCUUAGAGGGUGAAAAUCUUAUCUAAAAUUUGAAAUUCAAAUGAAAUUUCAAAUUUCAAAUUUAUCUGAAAUUUGAAUUCCGAAAUGUAUCUGAAAUUUGACAUUUUGAAUUUAUCUGAAAUUUGAAUUUUGAAAUGUACCUGAAAUUUGAAAUUUAUCUGAAAUUUAUCUGAAAUUUGAAACCGAAAAUCUUAUCCGAUAUGAAUAGUAUUGACACGUAGGAACCCAAAAAUCUUAUCCGAAAAUAUUAUCCAAAUUAAUUGUUUAAGUAAACAAAAUUGUGAAAAAAACAAAAAAAUGAAUAGUAAUUGCCAUGGCAAGCCCCAACUGCUGGAAACACAUUUUGCUGGAGGGGGCUAGGGCAGCCACUAUUCACGUGAAUAGUGCCUGCCCUAGGGCUAAUCUUGCCAUGGCAAGAGUCAACUGGUGGAAGUGCUCUAAGGGGAGAAACAAAAGGGGAGUCUAUUAGAGCAUUUCCAGCAGCUAAGGCUAGACUCGGGCUGGGAGGGGGGGUUGUUUGGGCAAAAAAGUAGUUUCCAGCAAUAAAAGCAAGUCCGAGCAGAUGGUGGGACCUAGCAGACUGGGCUGGCCCGAGGGCAAGGCUGAUGUCACGUCAACGUCAGCCCUGUGUCCAAAUUUUUUUAAAUCGUCCAUGUAGCGCGCGCUAGGCUCUCCGAUCAUAAUGAAAAAAAAUGGAUAAAAAUGUAAAAAAAUUACUGAUUUUUUUUUCUCUAUACCUUAUUUCCAUUUUCAACAUUUAAGUAAAUGUCUUUGUCCUUUUACUUUCAUUUAUUUUUAUAUUACUCUAUUUACUUAAGUUUACAAUGGAAAUAAGGAAGUACCCCCCCCCCCCCCCCCUCAAUUUGGAUUCAAAUAAAAAUACCAGAAAAUCAAAUUCCCACCAAAUCAAAAUAUGAAAAAUCGAUUUUAGUGCAAAAUACGAUUUUGGCUAAAAAUGAUGGCUCAUUAAGUCAAUAUAUACUUCAUAUUAAAAUUUCAUAAAAUCAAGUUUUCUUAUUUGAUGUGUAAGGAAUAAAAGCCGCCAAAAAUUAUCUUGAGAAAACAAUUAUUCCGAAAAAUCAUUUUUCAUACUUAGUCAAUAUUGCACCUCCGCUACAAAAAUUCUGGGUCCACCAGUGUCUAUAAAUACCAACCAAUACUCUUCACUUUUAACACCAAAUCCUCAUACUUUUUUUUUUCCUAUAAAUACCAACCAAUACAACUAAUAAAAUAAAAUACAACUAAUAAAAUGAAAUCAUAUCCGAAAAUAUUAUCCAAUAUGAAUAGUAUUAACAUGUAAGAACCCAAAAAUAUUAUCCGAAUUAAUUACUUAAGUAAAAAAAGUUGUAAAAAAAUAAAAAAAUGAAUAGUAUUUGCCAUGGCAAAGAGCAACUGCUGGAAACACAUUUUGCUGGGGGGGCUAGGGCAGCCACUAUUCACGUGAAUAGUAGCUGCCCUAGGGCUCCCCUUGCCAUGGCAAGGGGCAAACUGCUGGAAAUGCUCUUAGAGCAACUCCACCCAUUUGCCGUUAGCCAUGGCAAGGGUGGAGCUAGGGCAAGCACUAUUCACAUGAAUAGUGCUUGCCCUUGCAAAUAGUAAAUUGUGUCUCCACCCGUUGCCCUUAGCCAUGGCAAUUACUAUUCAUUUUUUUGUUUUUUCCUCCUAUUUUUUAAUGAAAAUAAUUAAUUUGGGUAAUAUUUUCAGAUAAGAUUUUCGGAUUCCUACGUGUCAAGACUAUUCAUAAUCAGAUAAAAUUUUCGGAUAAGAUAUUUGGAUUCAAAUUUCGGAUUAAUUUCAAAGUUCAAAUUUCAGAUAAAUUUUUGGGUUCAAAUUUCGAAUGAAUUUCAAAAUUCAAAUUUCAGAUAAAUUUGGGUUCAAAUUUCAGAUAAAUUUGGGUUCAAAUUUCGGAUGAAUUUCAAAAUUUGAAUUUCAUACAAAUUAGGGUUCAAAUUUCGGAUGAAUUUCAAAUUUCAGAUAAGAUUUUCAUCCAAUAAAAUCAAGCCACGUGGCAUGUCUAUCUUGCCAAAUUUUUCUAUAAAAUCAAAGUCUCAGCUCAUACCUCUCACACUACAUCUUUCUAUAUUUUCAUUUCUGAGAGUUUAUAAUUCAUACUUCAUUCAUUCUGAAUGGAAGAAUUUAGGAGAUGCUUGGAGAGACAAGAGAGAGAAAGAAGAGAGAGAAACCGUAGAGCAGAUGAAGUCAAUGAGUUGCAGAGACAAGUCGAUGAGCAAGUUCUCAUAGCAGUGGCUUUGGAAGAAGAAGAGAACCAAGGUCGCCGCCAUAGUUCACAAGCCGGCCGCCGCCGGAAUGUGGAAACACAUAGGCAUUCUAGGGGUAAGAAUCUUUUGGAAGAUUAUUUUAUCCCAACUUCUUUGUACUCUGAUGUUGAUUUUCGAAGGCGAUUUAGAAUGCAACCUCAUUUGUUCAAUAAAGUCAUGCAUGAUAUUUGCAAUUAUGAUGCAUACUUUGUUCAAAAGUGUGAUGCUGCUGGGGUUUUGGGGCUUCUUCUGGAGCAAAAGCUUACAGCUGUUAUACGAAUGUUGGCGUAUGGAGCAUCUGCUGAUCAGGUGGAUGAGAUUGCCCGGAUGGGGAAGUCCACUACGUUGGAGGCUUUGGUAAGAUUAUUGUGCCUUGUUUGUAGUUUUUUUUAUUUUUAUUUUGUUUUGUUUGAAGUAUGGAAUAUGUUGAAUAAAAAGGUAAUUUAUUGAAUACUUUGUUUAUUAAAUAACGAAAUCUAAUACAAGUCAUUACGAAUUACUACUACUAAAAUAAAAUACAUGAAUUACAACAACUUUAAAAGAAAACAUGAAAAAUACAAAUACUUAAAAGGUAGGCUAACAAAUUUAAUGGUUUCCAUCAUUUAACCAAUCCGUGUUGCUAGGCCCAUCAUCCCGGAAAAGUUUUCUUCUCAUAACAUCCCUUCUCAUAAAAUACAUGAAUUACAACAACUUUAAAAGAAAACAUGAAAAAUACAAAUACUUAAAAGGUAGGCUAACAAAUUUAAUGGUUUCCAUCAUUUAACCAAUCCGUGUUGCUAGGCCCAUCAUCCCGGAAAAAUUUUCUUCUCAUAACAUCCCUUCGUUCUAGUUUCCAAAAUUGUUUUGUUUCAGGGGACAUAUGACUUGUAUCCAUGGCCAUGGUUUCCCGAUCCGUGUUGUCUAUAUCUUUUUUGCGCAAAUACUCCCUUUCUCGUGCAUACUCAGCUUGAAGGGUCAACUCGUUAUCUUGGCGUUUUUGCUCCAUUUCAAUUCUUAGGCCAUUUUGCCUUGCAAUUUCCUCCAAAAACUUUGAAUUAUAAUUGCUUGAAUUACCCACUUUCUUUGCCUUCGCGGCCUUUCGGCCAAUGGGCCUCGGCUCCUUUUCCAUGGGUGAGUCUUGACUCAUAGGAGAAUCAAGAGGUGAAUCCGGUGCCAUUGAAUCACGGAGUGGCGUCUCGUUUAAUACAACAUCGGGACCCGUUGGAAUAAUUAUGAACCGUUUGCAAUAUUUGACCACCUCCCAACAUUCAUGAUGGGUGAAAUUUUUUUUGCCACCCCCGGUUGCACCGAACCACAUUUGUGCUUGUAUAAUCUAUUUAACAAAAAAAUAAAAAUGCAAUAAAUAUUUAAAAUAUAUUGGAUAUGCAAGUAACAAAAAAAUAUAAUAAUGAAAAUGCAAUUAACCUUACAAAUAAAUUAGAAGUGCAAGAAAAUUAAGAAACAAGUGGAAAUGCAAGAAAUAUUAACAACAUAUUGAAAAUGCAAGACAUAUGAACAAAAUAUUUAAAUUGCAAUAAAUAUUAACAAAAUAUUGAUAAUGCAAGAAAUAUGAACAAAAUAUUUAAAAUGCAAGAAAUAUUAACAAAAUAUUGAAAAUGCAAGCAAUAUUAACAAAUUGUAUAUAUUAGGAGAUUAAACUUAAUAAAAUAAAAAUUAUAAAAUACUUACCUCGUUAGUGCGAUUUUGCCCGCUUCUAUAGUUGUCCAUCGCUUUUGCUAGGACAUUUCUCCAUUUUCCCAACUCUUUAUUCAGGAUUUUCCACCUACUGGAUAACGCCAUCUCCGUACGAGUAGACCCCGGAAUUUUUUCACAAAAUUCGACAUGAAUUUUUUUCCACAUAUGAAAAAAUUUCAUCUCAUUGCCGGACACGGGACAAUGACAAAUUUGGAGCCAAGCCUCACACAAUGAAACAUCUUCCAUGGUGCUCCAAGCCCCUCCGAUUUCGAUAGAAGAAGCCAUAAAAAUAUGAAAUCAAAAUACUAGAUGAAAAAGAGGAAAAUGUUGAGUAUAAAGAGUGAAUAAUGGUAGAAGUAGAAGAAAAUGUAUGAGUAUUGGUGUUGAAAGUGAAGGGUAUUGAUAGGUAUUUAUAGAAAAAAAAAAUCAGAAUUUUUUAGAAUUUUUAAAAAAAAUUUACGAUUUUUUUUCAUAUUUUUAUUGCCCGAAAAAGCCUUAGCCGUUGGAUUAAUUUGGAAAAGCAGAUCGGAAGGCUGGGGAGGCGACACGUGGCAGCGUACCGUUGGAGCUGGCGUCGCGCUGACGUCAGCGUGACGCGAGUUGGACCUGGGGCUGGUCUCGCCUUCGGGCUGGCCCGAGUUGGUGGGUCCCACACCACCCCCGGGCCUGGGCUGAACGCUGGAGCAACUUUUUUUUUUUUCCUGCCUUCGCCUCGGGCUAGGCUCCCUCGGUGGAGCAGCUCUUAUAGUGGCAUGCCCCCUUUUGCCUCAUCUAUUUUUGUAGACAUUUUUGGUUUUUUGGUUUGUUCUGUUUUCUAUUGUGGUAUGAAAUUUAAUGAAAUAAUUAUUGUGUGGAAACACCCCAAGACUUUGUCGUUGAUGGACUAUGCAACAUGUACGCAUAAAACCACAAGAAAAAUAACACACACACACCACGAAGAGAGAUAAAGCAAACACACAAGAACACGAAGAUAAGGUUCGGCAACGUUACUAUGUCCUGUCUGAUGAAAGCCCUGAGAAAUUUCACUAGAACAAUAGGAACAACUUUUGUUUACAUGGAAAACCACCUUAACUCUCUACUCUAUCAUACCCUAGGCCUUAAUUUCUCUCACACCUUCGCUCAAACCCUUUGAUGCCCUUGUAACCUUCCCAAGAAUUCUGUUGUGAAUGGUUUCUUCUAGUUAACCUAGCUCCAAAAGUCCUGUUUAUAGUGUAUAGGACUUGGGUUACAAGUUUACUAAGAAUAGAAAACCAAAACCCUACUAGAUUAGGCUAAGAAACCCAAAACAAAUAGGCUAACAUGUCAAAAUGCGCCAAAACUUCAAAACAAGCAUGAGACAAGUCAUUAAAUUUUAAGCUAAUAAAUUUAGCUAGACUACCCGUAAAAACAUUUCUGGUUCCGCCCUUGAACUAAGGUCUUGUUUGAUGGCUUAGUUUCUUAGUUUUUGGUUACUUUUCAUCAAAGAUAGUGAGAGGGGAGACAGUAAAUCUGAAUUGUGAAGCAUAAGAUACAUAAGCCAGACUUUUUCCAUUCACAUCAAGAUAAAAGUUUUCUCUGUCUGCAGAUGACUGCACUUUAAACUUCCUUGCCUAACUUCUAUGAUUUUUACUUCCCUUUUAUAUUUAACUUGCAUUUUAGGUAUUAAUAUGGAGUUGUAAUUACAAUUAUGGCAGUUAAUGAAAUGCUUGGAAUACAUUAUAAAUAAAAUAUGAAGUCUAAUGGCAACGAUGUAAAAACAUAGGAAUAUUAUGACAUCUUAUAUCUUACUGGUAAUUUAAGUUUAAAAUUGAGUUUUCCACAUAGAUUUAUAAAAUGAUGGGUAUAUGUCUAGGAAAUAAAAAUGGUAGGGACCUAUAUUGGAAAAACCCUAAAUUUUAUUAAGAAACCACAAAAGGGCACAACAAUACAACAAAAAGUAAAAUCCAACCAAGCUCAGCAACAAGGAUAUACUUUUUUAGUGGAAAAUGUUGGGAACACUGACUUAUAUCAUGAUUUGAUUUUUCUUUGGCCUACAAAUCAAUUCUUUUAUGUGGAAAAUUCUUUUGACUUUGUCACUCAAAUUGUACAAAUAUGGUUGUGUGGCUUUUAAAAGGCAACGUGACGUGUGGGAUGGGCUGCCAAUUUUGAAACUUAUUAGCUUCUUUGAGAAGCUGGUGCAACAUUUAUGCGCGUGAACACUUGGCGGAUUGAUCCAUCAGAGAAGACAAAAUAAUGGUGUCAUUUGGACAGACUUGGGCAAUUGAUCCGGCAACAAGUCUUUCAUGGUUCCUUUAGCCUCGUUUGUUACGGAAGAUUGUCUUGGCAUGAACUAUUCUAAGAAAUUGUCUUGGCCUGAAUUGGCUUAAGUUGAAUAACACUUAACCUAUGUUUGGUGAUGCUUGGAUUGGGACUAAAUUUAAAUUGAUUAAAAUAUCAAUAAAUAGGACGAUAUAUUUCAACUUCUGUUAUACUGUACAAACGUGGGUUAAAAAUAUUCCAAUUUUUUUUUUUUUGCUAGUAAAUAGACCAGACCCGACCCGUUAAUUCUAGGCCAAAGUUCCCAAAGUUUUAUUUAAUAAGGUUUAUUUUUUAGGUUUAUAUAGGUUUUAAAUUUAAGGGCAUUUGUGUCUAUUUAAGUGAAUUUUUUACUAUAUUUGAAAUAUUUUAUAAAAACUGAUAUUUUUGAAAUUAAGGAUCAAGUUUUGAUAAAUUCUCUAAUAAAUACAUUAGUUUUAAGUUUUAGAUUUAUUACAUUUUUUUAUUUCUUGCUUGCAUUUAUUAACUGUCAUUUCUUUAUCUCUUUUUCGAAGCCUCAAAAGUCCAGUCAAUGGAUGGGGCCGUCUGAGUUGUUUUGUACGGUGGAAAACGUAUAAACUGGAUUUCGUGUCCUGGACUUCAAUAAUUUUUUCAUAUCUUUUAUUUAUUUAAACAACUUGGACUUCGUAGAAAUGGGGCUUUUUCUUUGGGUCAAGAAGUCAGUCAAUGGAAUACGUGUUCUCUCCGCCAUCGAUGGGGCAGCCUCUGUUUACCUCUCCUACUUUUGGGUGAAGAAGUCAGUCAAGUCUUUAUUUAUAAGAUUUUUGAAGUUGUUAAGAUAUCUACUGUGGCCAACAAAAUUCACGAACUUGCUUUCAGAAAAUAUUCAGAUAACAAUUAUUUAAUUGAGUAGACAAAUAAAUUCAAAUUCAAGUGAUGAUUUUCGCAGAGAUCAUCGCUGAAGAAUAUCAAAAAAAUAUACAAUUUGAAUCAUAAAAAAAUAAUAUUAUAUAAGUCCUACAACAGUGUUCCACAAACAAAAAAAUCCUCAAAUGAAGCUUUUAUGAGUAGGUACGAGCUUUAUUAAUUAUCCCUGACAAGAUUGUAGACCACCAUGGAAAGUCUCCUGCGGUAGUAGAUGUAAUUUGGGAAUCCAAAGAAACUAAUUUGCACGCCAGACAUGCAAGUCAAUGUCAACUCAAGUCAUACACGAUUUCUGAUAAAUUCAUGUCGGAAAAUGAAUUUCUAGGGAAGUUAUGAGCAUUUCAGACUCUAUGUUUCUCUAUAAAUAUCCAACAACAAAUCUUAACCUUCAUUCUCAUUCUUCACUAGCCCUUCACCAAAAUGGCUUUCUACAAUACAACAAAACACCUUCUAAGCCUCACUGCCCUAGUCUUUGUGGCUGGAGCACUGCUAAAAAAUGUGACAGCACAAAAUUGUGGCUGUGCCCCAGAUCUAUGUUGUAGCCAGUAUGGCUACUGCGGCAGCAGCGAAGACUAUUGCGGCCCGGGUUGUCAACAAGGCCCUUGUACUGGCGGUGGCGGCGGCACACCUACCACACCAAGCCCCAGUGGUGGUGGUGGUUCGUCGGUGGCUGAUAUUGUAACCCAAGAAUUCUUCAAUGGAAUCAUUAACCAGGCUCCUUCAGACUGUGUUGGGAAGAACUUCUACACUCGAGAUGGUUUUAUUAACGCUGUGAACUCAUAUUCUGACUUAGGUAGACGUGGUUCGGUUGACGAGUCUAAACGGGAAAUCGCAGCUUUCUUUGCUCAUGCGACUCAUGAGACUGGCUGUAAGAUAUUCCUUUCCUCCCCUCUCAUACAUACAAUGUGACAUGAACAAAUUAUAACUCCCCUCUCUCAUUAAAAACGUGCAUAUGUUACAUGUUGUGAAAUUAUAUGUUUCACAACGUGCAAUAAGAGCACGUUGUAUUAUACAACUUUUAGCAACAUGCAUUUAGUGUGCGUCGUCGAAAUGCGUUUAGUGCAUAUCAUGUCUGAAAGUUUCUAUAGUUGCUAAAUAUUUUCCAUGUAUUAAGCUCCACAAUUUCCGAAUGAAUUUCCUCAUUAUGAUAUGCACAGAUAUUUAUGUCAAAUAGUUGAUAACCUAUAAAAAUUCAAAACCCCUAUUUCUCAUAUAAAAAUUUGAUGGGUCAUAUAUAUUGUCAACAUAAAUAGAACAAACAAAAGAAAACACAGAUGAACCUAACAAAAUAACUUUUUCUCUUUCGUUCAGAUUUUUGCUUCAUAGAAGAGAGAGAGGAGUAUCGUCAAACCUACUGCGAGCCAAGCACAGACUAUCCAUGCAACCCCGACAAACAAUACUAUGGGCGUGGAGCAUUACAAAUUACAGGGAAUAAAAAUUAUGGACCUGCUGGAAAGAGCAUUGGCUUGGACCUUUUAAACUCUCCAGAAACCGUGGCCUCAGACGCUGAUGUUGCAUUCAAGACUGCCAUUUGGUAUUGGGUGGUAAAUGUUCGUAAUGCUUUAAGUCAAGGAUUUGGAGCCACAACUCGAGCCAUUAAUGGUGCUAAGGAAUGCGAUGGUCAACAACCUGACCUAGUUCAAGCCCGGGCCGCCUUGUACCAGAGUUAUUGCAGCCAACUUAAUGUUGAUCCUGGCGCUAAUCUCAGUUGCUAGAAUGCCAAAACUUAUUAAUUAUAUGGAGAUAUCGUUAAUUGCCCCCUUUAAUAUGAUAUAUAUCAAUAUAUCUUUUUUUUUUGUUUGUUCCCAAGCUAGCAUGGAAGGAGAGGGCUACCUCCUGUUGUGUACUCCACCCAUUGAAUAAAUAAAGACUAUAUAUUUCUAUUGAAUGUGUUUUUUGUCAUUCGCUAAGGAGGAGGAUGAAGCAGAAUUAUAUUGGAUUGCCUCAAGAUUGUCUUCUAUGUGAAUCGAACCCGGGUGCACUAAGGGGGGAAUGUGAGAGUUUUGGCCUACUUUUUUUACCGUGAUGCCACCCCAUGUGCUGUAUUGAAUGUUAUAUAUAUUGUUGAAAAUUGUAGGAAUCUUUGUGAAGUCUGUUUAGCGAACAUUUGUGAUUGGUUUGAUAUGAAUAUGAGAUUAGUUGUGCUGAGGACUUGUUUUCUUCUAAAUUUGUUUAUAUAUCGGCUUCUACCCUAACUUGAGAAAGAAUAAAUACUCCUUGGCAGUAAAGAUUGCUUGGAAUACAAUUCGGGCUAAUUACCUGUUUUAAGCAACUAGAAACCCCAAUCAAAUAAGGUCAUAUAAGCCACAAUUUGACUCAAGAAAAAUUCAGGCCCAAACAUGAACAAAAGCGCAUAUUAUUUUAGCACGAAUAGUUCUGUACCCUCUAGAAUCUUGUUAUUUUCACAUAGCUCUUUCCUAUCUGCCAAUCUCUUCUCCCGAUUUGUCAUUUCUCAUCACUUUCUGUUGAUCCACUUUUCGGCAUCGAACCUAAAUUUCCCUCUCAUUUACUCAAACAAAGUUCCCAACUUUCUUCUCUGUCUCACUUCUAAUUGUUUCAAUCAAAUUGAACUGCAGGCAUGCGCAGAGAAAGUAAAUUAAGAUAUUUUUUAAAAAAAAGCAUUUUCAUUCAUAACCUUCCCGAGCUCAAAUAUUGAGAUUUCUUACAAGAAUUGCCAAUAUUCCUAGAGUCAUAUCACACUACACAGAUGAUAGAACUUCCCAACUUCUCAAGAGAAAGGGAAUCUAGAAUUAUUCUAACGAGUCAAAAAAGAAAGAGCUAUGCUACAGUCAAUCACCUGCGCGAGAUUAGGCCAUUUUUUACCAUUCAUUAUUGUGGGACACAAAUUUGAUUAAUGGUAAGAAAUUGCUCCCUUGUUCUUAUUUACGUUUGUCUUUCCUUCGAAGUCAUGAUCAUGUGGUGUUCUAGUGUUCCUAUUGUCAGUUCAUAUGGUAUAAGCUUCUCCUCAUUGUGGAUUGUAUUGGCACUAGUUUGCCAAGCACCUCUUUCUUUGCAUGGUCUCUGGGUCACUCGAACAGGAACCAACUCUCUUCUGUAAUCCAUGGUUCUGUCUUGAGGCAACAGUUUACUGUAUAUGGAAUCCAGCUGAUUUAUCUUUUCGAAUUCGAAAGCUACUUCUGCCAAGAAUGUUAUUAUAAGAUAUUGGCUGCUUUAAUUAUGAAGUUGGAUUAAGUCUAUUUGCUUUGUUUGAUCUAAUCAGAUCAUAUGGCAAUUUUGUUCAUAUAUUGACCAUUAAAAUUCCUGUGGAAGAAAUGACUAUCAUUAUCAUUGUUUUUGUAAGUAAUGUAUGGUAUCAAAAAAUAUUAAUACUGGUCCCUUCCUAUACGAUUAGUUUUUUGUCGCUACCUAAGUCUGGUGGCUAGGGUUUGCGUUGUCUAGUGCUCACGUCCUUUUGCAGAGAGCUCUUUCCAUGCCCAUAAGGCGUCCCUGUCUGCAUAGGAGUGACGAAGGUGACGGGCUCGUGACACUCUAGGGUUCGGCGUCGUGUUUUGUGAAGGUUUUUGGGCGAGAUCUAGAGUGGACUUUGGAGGCGUUGAAAGAUAUCGUUCAAGGAUUUACCACUAACCUGGCAAUCUCGGAGGUAGAUGCUUUCGAGAUUGUAGGCGUGGAGGAGCUGAGUAAAUUGAAGGCUGAUCGUUUCCUUUUGGUUGGGCGCUUACUCAUAACCAAGCCUGUCCAUAAAGAGCCGCUGUUUGGUACUAUGAAGAAUAUCUGGCGUACAUUGGAGGAUAUCACUGCGGUUCCUUUGGAUGUACCCGAGAGGUUUUUGUUCUCCUUCAAGUCUGAUCUUGAUCAUAGAAGAGUGUUGAGGAGUUCUCCUUGGACUUUUGAUAAGGCCCUGUAGUUGCUUGAGGCAACAAACGGUUAUGUUGAUCUGCUGACAAUUACUUUGGAUACCCAUAACUUUUGGGUAAAGGUUAGGCGUAUUACCCUCUUGUUCCUGACUCCAGCAAUGGGAGAGAAAUUGGGCAACUACCUUGGAUCUUUUUUCAUGGUGGAUCGCAGAUUGAAUGAGGAUUGUUCGGGCAGUUUCUUGCGCAUCAUGGUAGGGUUGAAGAUAUCGAAGCCCCUGAAGUGUUGUGUUAUGCUUUGUUUAGCACUUGAUGAACUAGCAAAGUAGCACGAGAUCGAGUAUGAACGGCUGCCUUAUUUCUGUCUGUAUUAUGGUAGAUUGGAUCAUAUAGGUUCAAACUGUGAGUUGAAACGAAAAGGGGAUAUUACUACGGAACGAUAUGGACGGUGGAAGACUAUGGUCAAAGAUGUUUUUAGUAUCAGGUUAGUGAACGGUUUUACAAGGAAUAGGAUUAGACUUGGAGGCGACGAGACACAGUUGACAAUUGUGCUUCACCCCGAAGGUGGUGGGCAUUGUUUGUCUGUGAGAAGCGAUGGGAAAUGGUCGGGGAGAGAUAACCAUAGAGGAAGAUGGUUUGGGAAGUGAUCAUGUGCUACGUCUAUUCAAAAAGAGACGAUUUUCUACUGAAGGUGAAGGCCAUACCACUACAGCACCGAUGGGGAAGAGGCCGGGUGAAACUCAUAAGUGUUUAUUAGUGAGCGUCCGAGGUUCAGGAACCCAAGAGGUACUGACAAAAUUGCCAGAGACUAUGAUUGUGGAGAAGGCAUUGGUAGACUACGUCGCUGUCGAACAACUACUGGGAUUACCUUUGUUCUCUAUGGGUAAAGAGCAGAUAGGCAGUAGGGGCCUGUAUGGUGGAAGGUGCUCGAUCAAAAAACAGAGCAACAAAAGAUACAGGCCACGUAGAGAUGGUGGAUGAGGGAAAUGAGAAGUGAUGUUACAAAAGCAAAAGACGAGCCAAGCUGGUCAAUCGGUGAUGAGUCCCGAGAAUUAGUCCUAUCACGAGCAAUGACAAUCUUAUGCUAGAAUGUUUAUGGUCUGGGCAAUCCACGAACAUUUCAAGCUAUGAGAUUCCUCAUUAUAGACAAAAACGAAAAAAAAACUACUCGUCAAAUGAAAUACAUCUAAUUGCUGCUAGGUUGGGCUGGCUGCUUUAAGGUGAGCAGAGUUGGCUUGUCUGGAGGGCUUGCCCUCCUUUGGCAAUAUGGGAUGAAUAUAAUGAUUCGUUCUUCAUCGCCAGGUCAUAUUGAUGCCAUCUUUGGAGGUUUGGAGCCAACUGCAUUUAGGUUUACUAGUUUUUAUGGAAACCCGUAUAUGAAGCUGCACAAGCAUUUGUGGGAUCUAUUACAGUGGAUUGCGGGUGAUGUGAUUGGCCCAUGGCUAGUGGGUGGUGAUUUUAAUGAAAUAGUUACGGCACAUAAGUAUUUACACUGCCGAUUUCUGGCUAUGUCAUAGAUAAGGGAUUGUGGUGCAGCUCUUAAGGAUUAUGGUAUGUCGACGGUAGGUUUCAGAGGAUAUAAAUUUAUUUGGUCCAACCAAUGGAGAGGUAGUGGUAAUGUUCAGCUUUGUUUGGAUAGGAUGGUGGCAAAUGAUUUAAUGUUUCUAGCUUUCCCGGAUAUGCUUACCCAUCAUCUUAAUUCUGUGGUAUCGGACCAUCUCCCUAUCCUCAAGGAGUGUGGGUCGCAUAGUUGGGCAUGGAGAAAGCAACGUUUUAUGUUCGAGGAACUUUGGACCACAUUUGAAGGUUGUCAGGAUACCAUUACUAGUGCUUGGAGGGUUGAUCAGGGGUCUGUUUUGAGCAAAUUGCAUUCUUGCCAGGCAUCCUUGACCCGGUGGAAUAAGGAGAAUGUUGGCUAUAUUUCUACAAAAGUAAGAUGUUUGCAGAGUAAGCUAGAUAUUUUAAUGGGAAAUGAGCAAGAUGCAACAAUUGCUCUUCAACAGAAAGCUCUCUCGCAGAGCCAUCUCUCUUCCCUCCGCGAGCCUCGUCAACGUCGCCGAGCCUUAUCCUAGUCUACGAUCGUGGUUUCUCUCUCUCAUGUUUUUCUGAUGGUUUAUCUAUCGUGGUUUCUAUAUUUUCCUUUUGUUUGUUGAUGAUGCCCGUCGUCGUUCACCUAGCUAUCUCUCUUUCCUCCACGAGCCUUGUCAGCACUUGUCGAGCUUCUAUGCCGUGCUACACUGCUGUUGUUCCCUUUGCAUACCCCUUCUUUCCCUAUGUCCCAAGUGCAUACCCCCUGUUUCCCCAUGUCGACGGUGGGUUUCAGAGGGUAUAAAUUUACUUGGUCCAACCGAUGGAGAGGUAGUGGUAAUGGUAAUGUUCACCUUCAUUUGGAUAGGAUGGUGGCAAAUUAUUUAAUGUUCUUAGCUUUCCCGAAUAUGCUUACCCAUCAUCUUAAUUCUGCGGUAUCAAACCAUUUCCCUAUCCUUACGGGGUGUGGGUCGCAUAGUUAGGCAUGGAGGAAGCGACGUUUUAUGUUCAUGGAACUUUGGACCACAUUUGAAGGUUGUCAGGAUACCAUUACUAGUGCUUGGAGGGCCGCUCAGGGGUCUGUUUUGAGCAAAUUGCACUCGCUGGUUUGUUAUUUCUGUGGAUGAUUGCACUUGCAUGAUGUGGUUGUACUUGAUGAAAAAUAACAGUGAUGUUUUUGCUGUUUUUAGAAUUUUCACCAGAUUGUUCUAUUGACAGGUAUAGUGCCAAACUUAUGGCCUGAGGUUUAACCUAGACUUAUGGAACUUUGGACCACAUUUGAAGGUUGUCAAGAUACCAUUACUAGUGCUUGGAGGGCCGCUCAGGGGUCUGUUUUGAGCAAAUUGCACUCGCUGGUUUGUUAUUUCUGUGGAUGAUUGCACUUGCAUGAUGUGGUUGUACUUGAUGAAAAAUAACAGUGAUGUUUUUGCUGUUUUUAGAAUUUUCACCAAAUUGUUCUAUUGACAGGUAUAGUGCCAUACUUAUGGCCUGAGGUUUAACCUAGACUUAUGAUAUUGAUUAUCAAGAGACGUUUGCACCGGUGGCUAAGAUCAAUACCAAUCGAGUUCUAUUACCUUUAGCUGUAAACUUUAAUUGUCCAUUCAAGCAAUAUGAUGUAAAAAAUGUCUUCUUACAUGGAGACUUACAUGAGGAAAUCUACAUGUCAUUGCCGCAAGGUUAUAAGGCUCCUAAUGAUGCUAGUGCUGUAUGUAAAUUGAAGAAGGCACUAUAUGGAUUGAAGCAGUCUCCGAGAGCUUGGUUUGGGAGUUUCAGUCUUUCCAUAAAAAAAAAAUUGGUUAUGAGUAGAGCAAUGCUGAUCGUACUUUAUUUUUAAAAGGAAGAAUGGUAAGUUAACAGCUCUUAUUAUUUGUGUGGAUGAUUUGAUUGUGAUUGGUGAUUAUCUUGAUGAAAUUGGCAAACUGAAAGGCUAUUUAGCUUCUGAGUUCGAUAUGAAGGAUCUCGGUGGAUUAAAAUAUUUUUUAGGUAUUGAGGUAACUCGUUAUGAACAGGGAAUUUUCUUGUCACAAAGAAAAUAUGUUCUUGAUUUGCUAAAGGAAACAGGUAUGCUUGGUGUGAACCGAUUGGUACUCCUAUAGAACGAAAUCAUGGUUUGGAAGAAUAUCCAGAUCAAGUUCCAAUUGAAGUCCUUAUUUGUCUUAAGGCAUAGAAAGGACCUCACUAUUCAGUUUACCGUUUCAAAUGACAAUUGUUUUUUUUAAGUCAUUUACUUUGUGCGCAAGUCUAUUUUUAUUUAUUUAUUUACAAGUCUUUUAGGGUUUUAACACUACUAAUAUUGGCACACUCGCAAAUUCACAUAAGCUCAACCCUGUUUUAAGGCUUGGACAUUUUUAGGGUAAAUAUAUUUUCGCACUCCCCGUGGGAUCUCUAAUACACAUAUUACUAACAACUUAUGUUGGUAUAUCCGUUACAUGGACUAAAGUUACUUCGUUUUACCAAAAAGAUUGUUAUAAGACAUUUCAAACUUGGAAGUUCUAAAAUUGUUGCAUAAUUGCAGAAUGGUACUGAGGAAGAUAAUAAAGGAGCUCUUACUUUAGCAAAUGCAAUAGAGAAGGCUCUGCAAUUGCAUGACAACCCUAAUUCUAUAGUGAAAGAAACAGCUAAAUCUAUUGCAGUAUUUUUAGCCACUCGAUCCUUUUAAGGUUUAGAUAUACAUUAUGAAGGUUCCUUGCCAGAACCAUAUUUUAUAGGGAGAUGUAGAAGGGUAGUAGGGUAUGAAGAUGAGAAAAACGGGCAUCGUGUUGAAGGAUGUCCCAUUGGUAGAUGUGUGGAAGGCAACAGGUGUAGGUGACCGCCCGAGAGGGGACAUGUAAAUGAAAGAGCAUACUAUUGAUGUCUCCCUUGCAGCAUGGAGUGCAUCUAUAUGAAACCGAGACUAUGUAAAGGGAGAAACAAGUUUACUAGGACUUGGGUUACAAGUUUACUAGGAAUAGGAAACCAAAACCCUACUAGAUUGGGCUAAGAAAUAUGCCCUUAAAGCCAUCAAAUUAUGUAAGAGCAACUCCACCCAUUUUCCAUGGCUAAGGGCAAGGGGGGGCUAGGGCAGUUACUAUUCAUGUAAAUAGUUGCUGCCUUUGCAAAAAGCAAUGUGUGUUUCCAUCCGUUGCCAUUUUUCUUUUUUUUUUUAACCUAAACAAUUAAUUUGGAUAAUAUUUUCAGAUAAGAUUUUUGGGUUCGUACAUGUCAAUAUUUAUUAUCAAAUUCAUAUCUCAUAAUCGGAUAAAAUUUUAGGAUAAGAUUUUCAGUUUCAAAUUUUAAAUUUCAAAUUUUAGAUAAAUUUCAGAACAUCUUCCACGGUUGCCCACGUGCCCCCGGCUUCGAUGGAAGAUGCCAUGAGAUGGUGAAUAAAAUGAAAAUUGGAAGUGAUGAAAAUUUUGUGUAGAAGGUGAAAAACAAUAGAAUUUAUGAAAUUGUAUGAGGAUUUGGUGUUCAAAGUGAAGAAGAAUGGUAGGUAUUUAUAGGAAAAAAGUUCAGAAUUUUUUGGUAAUUCUUUAAAAAAAUGUCAAAUUUUUUUUUUUUCACAUUUUUUUGCCCAAAAAAAACCCAGUCAUUGGAUUUGGAAAAAAAAAAAAAAAAAAAAAAAGCAUCCGCGCAACUGGAAUGCGGCACUUGUCAAGUGACCGUUGGUCGACGUCAGCAUUGACGUCACCUCGCCUCGGGCUGCUUCCCCCAGCUAGAUGGCCCUGUCGCGUGGCACCCGCCUUGGCUAGGCUGUCUUGGCCCGCUGGAACCCGCUGCUUGGGAUCGAGCCCUGUCCUGCCCGAGCUUGGGUUUGUUGUUGGACUUGCUCUAAUAGUUAGAGUUAAAGACAUCUUUAAUAAAAGACAUAUUAUGUUAUCAAUAGGCAAGAAAGGUUGUUUUAUACAAUAAAUCAUCCUAUAUUAUCUUUCAAUAUGGAGAACAACCAUAGUCCAAGGAAUACACAAGUGGAUAUGAGAGCUAUGUAAUGAGAUUGCAUACAUGGAGACUUCUCAUCAUCCCUAAAUCCUAAAUAUGUUCAUGGUAAUAGGAAUAUUGAUUGGGCAUCAAUAUUCUGCAAAGACUUGUACACACAGUAUCGUCCCUAUAUGUAGGGAAUGGCAAGGUCUCAAGUCAUUAAGUGUGGAGACACAUCGAUAUGUGUAUAUGUGCUUGUAGAAGAACAAGUACACUGAAGGCGAUCCAACACAUGAGUUACAACAUGGAAGUCUUUACUUACAUGUCAAGCUGGAAGUCAUAAUUUGCAAUGGUGCAAACUAAUCCUUAGACCUGAGGCAUCAUAGAUGUUUUGUGGCUAUGUUGUUAAUCUUUGAGGGCACUAUACGGUCAUGCUGAAUUAGGCAUAGCUUAAAGGUGCUCAUCAGGAUUCUCAAUAGUGUCAUGGAAGUAAAUGAAUGUACAAUAAGGAAUCUCUACUCUCAGUAAAGGAGAGAGAAUACUCCAAAAUAUGAUUGGUCAAAUCUCUAAGCAGAGUAGUGGAUAAGACUUGAAAGAAGAAGUCUUCAAGUGUUACCAGGAUAAUCAUAUAAAAUGAAUGAUUCACAUUAGGAUAUUGACAAUCGGAUUCCAUGAUCUAAUAACGUGAAUAAGGAGUAUUGACAUAAGAGAAUGAUUCAAUUGCACGGUUAUUCCAAUUUAAAUAGGUUCUUACACAACGUCUCAUUUAGCUCGGAUAACUGUGACUUGCUGCUAGGCGACAACCAUGGUUUGUGAAUGUCCUAAAAGGUUUCAAUUAACCUUUAUUAAUAGAAAGAAUUAAAUUGUGGAAUUUAAUUUAUAUAUUCAAAGAAACUAGGCUAAGAUACUUUGUUUAAAAUGAAAUUGGUUUAGCUCAACUAGUAUAAACAAAAUGAAUAUGACAUUUAUAAUGUUUUUGUUGUAUAGGUUGUGGCUAAAUUUCAUUUCCUAAGCAUUAGAUGCAUGUUUCCUUCACUUGGCUACGUAAGAAUUCAUUGUCCAAUCGAACCUUCUAGUUCCUGGAUGCUCCAUAGAAAUCCAUUGUUAUUCCUUUCUUCCACCGAGAAAGUUUCAUUUCAAAUCACAAGAGAAAUUUCUCUCUCUUUUUUUAUAAGCACCGACCGUUCGUCAUGAUUGGGUGACGGUUCGCCUGGAGCAAAAUUCACAACUCGAGCCUCUCUACCAAAAUCCAACUGGUUGGCUGGCCACACCGGCCGGUAGCUUUCUUGCUGCUGCCAAAUCCUACGACUUCUUCUCCUCUCUUGUUGCUCCUUUUCAUGCAGCACCUUGGUUCCUCUUCUUCCUCCUACAUUAUGGUGAGCCAAAUCACAACACUAGCUACAUGUAAUGAGCAACUAAGGCAAGGGUGGAACUACUUCCAAGGCUAUAUAUAUGUUUAACUUGUUUUAUAUAUAGCCCAGUACGUACUAACUUAUUCAAGUCCAAAAAAGUCUAAGUCCUUAUGAAUUUAGUUGGAGAGCAUCAAUUUGAUAAUAGGUACACUUUCAAUUAUGUUGUUGAACAUAUUUUCAUUUUGAUAAUAUGUGUUUUUUAGUUGCAUUUAAUAUGUAUUGGUUUUAAGUUUUUUUUUAGGACCUUUCCUUUUGAGAGGGCCGAUAAUAUACUAAACUCACACACACUAUAUUCAUACUAGGACUUGAACCUAGGACCUUGCUUGGGAGAGCAGUUGCUCCAAACCACCACACUAGUGGGUCCUUUUGCAUAUAUGUUUUAAGUUAAAGCUUAUUGGAAAUGAACAUUUAGCUCUGCACUCAAGGACCUAAGUUCGAUUUCCCACUCACCCAAUAUCGCUUAUAUAAGAAGGAAAAAACUUAUUGGAAAUUAGUCAAUUGAACUAUGAACUAGUGUAUGUUUUUAUUUAUUUAUAACAAAACAAUACAAGCAACAGUCUAAACUACAAGUGGGAGGGGAGUUUCUCACACACACACAUUAUCAAGGUGUCAUGGAGGUUCAAACAUGAGACCAAUGGUUUGCGAGUCAAGGUCCCUUUCUAUUGGGCUAGACCCCGUUGAAGAACUAGCGUGGUUAUAUGAUUUAAUGUUUGCUUUUAUUUCUAGAAAGACUAUAGAAUCUGGAAGUACCAAAAAAAUAAAAUAUCAUUAAAUUUUAAGCUAAUAAAUUUAGCUAGACUACCCGUAAAAACAUUUCUGGUUCCGCCCUUGAACUAAGGUCUUGUUUGAUGGCUUAGUUUCUUAGUUUUUGGUUACUUUUCAUCAAAGAUAGUGAGAGGGGAGACAGUAAAUCUGAAUUGUGAAGCAUAAGAUACAUAAGCCAGACUUUUUCCAUUCACAUCAAGAUAAAAGUUUUCUCUGUCUGCAGAUGACUGCACUUUAAACUUCCUUGCCUAACUUCUAUGAUUUUUACUUCCCUUUUAUAUUUAACUUGCAUUUUAGGUAUUAAUAUGGAGUUGUAAUUACAAUUAUGGCAGUUAAUGAAAUGCUUGGAAUACAUUAUAAAUAAAAUAUGAAGUCUAAUGGCAACGAUGUAAAAACAUAGGAAUAUUAUGACAUCUUAUAUCUUACUGGUAAUUUAAGUUUAAAAUUGAGUUUUCCACAUAGAUUUAUAAAAUGAUGGGUAUAUGUCUAGGAAAUAAAAAUGGUAGGGACCUAUAUUGGAAAAACCCUAAAUUUUAUUAAGAAACCACAAAAGGGCACAACAAUACAACAAAAAGUAAAAUCCAACCAAGCUCAGCAACAAGGAUAUACUUUUUUAGUGGAAAAUGUUGGGAACACUGACUUAUAUCAUGAUUUGAUUUUUCUUUGGCCUACAAAUCAAUUCUUUUAUGUGGAAAAUUCUUUUGACUUUGUCACUCAAAUUGUACAAAUAUGGUUGUGUGGCUUUUAAAAGGCAACGUGACGUGUGGGAUGGGCUGCCAAUUUUGAAACUUAUUAGCUUCUUUGAGAAGCUGGUGCAACAUUUAUGCGCGUGAACACUUGGCGGAUUGAUCCAUCAGAGAAGACAAAAUAAUGGUGUCAUUUGGACAGACUUGGGCAAUUGAUCCGGCAACAAGUCUUUCAUGGUUCCUUUAGCCUCGUUUGUUACGGAAGAUUGUCUUGGCAUGAACUAUUCUAAGAAAUUGUCUUGGCCUGAAUUGGCUUAAGUUGAAUAACACUUAACCUAUGUUUGGUGAUGCUUGGAUUGGGACUAAAUUUAAAUUGAUUAAAAUAUCAAUAAAUAGGACGAUAUAUUUCAACUUCUGUUAUACUGUACAAACGUGGGUUAAAAAUAUUCCAAUUUUUUUUUUUUUGCUAGUAAAUAGACCAGACCCGACCCGUUAAUUCUAGGCCAAAGUUCCCAAAGUUUUAUUUAAUAAGGUUUAUUUUUUAGGUUUAUAUAGGUUUUAAAUUUAAGGGCAUUUGUGUCUAUUUAAGUGAAUUUUUUACUAUAUUUGAAAUAUUUUAUAAAAACUGAUAUUUUUGAAAUUAAGGAUCAAGUUUUGAUAAAUUCUCUAAUAAAUACAUUAGUUUUAAGUUUUAGAUUUAUUACAUUUUUUUAUUUCUUGCUUGCAUUUAUUAACUGUCAUUUCUUUAUCUCUUUUUCGAAGCCUCAAAAGUCCAGUCAAUGGAUGGGGCCGUCUGAGUUGUUUUGUACGGUGGAAAACGUAUAAACUGGAUUUCGUGUCCUGGACUUCAAUAAUUUUUUCAUAUCUUUUAUUUAUUUAAACAACUUGGACUUCGUAGAAAUGGGGCUUUUUCUUUGGGUCAAGAAGUCAGUCAAUGGAAUACGUGUUCUCUCCGCCAUCGAUGGGGCAGCCUCUGUUUACCUCUCCUACUUUUGGGUGAAGAAGUCAGUCAAGUCUUUAUUUAUAAGAUUUUUGAAGUUGUUAAGAUAUCUACUGUGGCCAACAAAAUUCACGAACUUGCUUUCAGAAAAUAUUCAGAUAACAAUUAUUUAAUUGAGUAGACAAAUAAAUUCAAAUUCAAGUGAUGAUUUUCGCAGAGAUCAUCGCUGAAGAAUAUCAAAAAAAUAUACAAUUUGAAUCAUAAAAAAAUAAUAUUAUAUAAGUCCUACAACAGUGUUCCACAAACAAAAAAAUCCUCAAAUGAAGCUUUUAUGAGUAGGUACGAGCUUUAUUAAUUAUCCCUGACAAGAUUGUAGACCACCAUGGAAAGUCUCCUGCGGUAGUAGAUGUAAUUUGGGAAUCCAAAGAAACUAAUUUGCACGCCAGACAUGCAAGUCAAUGUCAACUCAAGUCAUACACGAUUUCUGAUAAAUUCAUGUCGGAAAAUGAAUUUCUAGGGAAGUUAUGAGCAUUUCAGACUCUAUGUUUCUCUAUAAAUAUCCAACAACAAAUCUUAACCUUCAUUCUCAUUCUUCACUAGCCCUUCACCAAAAUGGCUUUCUACAAUACAACAAAACACCUUCUAAGCCUCACUGCCCUAGUCUUUGUGGCUGGAGCACUGCUAAAAAAUGUGACAGCACAAAAUUGUGGCUGUGCCCCAGAUCUAUGUUGUAGCCAGUAUGGCUACUGCGGCAGCAGCGAAGACUAUUGCGGCCCGGGUUGUCAACAAGGCCCUUGUACUGGCGGUGGCGGCGGCACACCUACCACACCAAGCCCCAGUGGUGGUGGUGGUUCGUCGGUGGCUGAUAUUGUAACCCAAGAAUUCUUCAAUGGAAUCAUUAACCAGGCUCCUUCAGACUGUGUUGGGAAGAACUUCUACACUCGAGAUGGUUUUAUUAACGCUGUGAACUCAUAUUCUGACUUAGGUAGACGUGGUUCGGUUGACGAGUCUAAACGGGAAAUCGCAGCUUUCUUUGCUCAUGCGACUCAUGAGACUGGCUGUAAGAUAUUCCUUUCCUCCCCUCUCAUACAUACAAUGUGACAUGAACAAAUUAUAACUCCCCUCUCUCAUUAAAAACGUGCAUAUGUUACAUGUUGUGAAAUUAUAUGUUUCACAACGUGCAAUAAGAGCACGUUGUAUUAUACAACUUUUAGCAACAUGCAUUUAGUGUGCGUCGUCGAAAUGCGUUUAGUGCAUAUCAUGUCUGAAAGUUUCUAUAGUUGCUAAAUAUUUUCCAUGUAUUAAGCUCCACAAUUACCGAAUGAAUUUCCUCAUUAUGAUAUGCACAGAUAUUUAUGUCAAAUAGUUGAUAACCUAUAAAAAUUCAAAACCCCUAUUUCUCAUAUAAAAAUUUGAUGGGUCUUAUAUAUUGUCAACAUAAAUAGAACAAACAAAAGAAAACACAGAUGAACCUAACAAAAUAACUUUUUCU